AGCAAGAUGACUUUAAUUCUUAUUUUGGUAGAAAAUUAAAACAAGAUGCUUAUAUGAUUAAACGCUUGGGUGAUUAUAUGGCUAAUAUUAGAGGUGAACUUAAACUUGUUAGCAAACAUGCUUCUAUGGUUACCACUCAAGUAGAACAAGUACUUAAAGCUCAAAAAGAAGUGCUUGAUGAAAUGAAUAGUAAGAAAAACGAUUAUGCUGUUAGAGUGGCUACUAGAACUGGUAGAAUGACUCAGGAACCUUUGUAUCCUGAAGGCCACUGUCGGUGUUAAAACCGGCGGAUCUCGGGUAGGGGGUCCCGAACUGUGCGUCUAGGCGGAUGGUAACAGGAGACGAGGGACACGAUGGUUUUACCCAGGUUCGGGCCCUCUCGAUGGAGGUAAAACCCUAUGUCCUGCUUGAUUAAUAUUGAUGAUAUGGGUAGUACAAGAGUGGAUCUACCACGAGAUCAAGGAGGCUAAACCCUAAAGCUAGCCUAUGGUAUGAUUGUUGUAAUGUAUGUUGUGUCCUACGGACUAAAGCCCUCUGGUUUAUAUAGACACCGGAGGAGGCUAGGGUUACACAGAGUCGGUUACAAUGGUAGGAGAUCUACAUAUCCGUAUUGCCAAGCUUGCCUUCCACGCCAAGGAAAGUCCCAUCCGGACACGGGACGGAGUCUUCACUCUUGUAUCUUCGUAGUCUUGGAGUCCGGCGGACGAUGAUAGUCCGGCUGUCCGGACACCCCCUAGUCCAGGACUCCCUCAGUAGCCCCCGAACCAGGCUUCAAUGACGAUAAGUCCAGUGCGUAUAUAGUCUUCGGCGUUGCAAGGCGGGUUCUCCUUUCAAGUUCCAUGUACCAGUCGAACAGUGUCCGGCUUCAUCAUAAAUACUGUGUUCCUCGGCUUCUACGUCCAAUAAUAGCCUUUUCCCACGCGUCGCACGAAUGCGAAAAGCCAGGGUGUCUUUUACGUUUCACCCCCUAGUCGUGCGAGUCGUCCGCCUAAAAAAGAGGCAAAAAUCCAGAUCCAAAUCACACCAUCUUCCUCCCGCGAAUACUCCAUCGGAGCGCCUUUGACCUAAAAAUCCAUUCCAUCAUGGACCGUCGACGCGGCUCUUCUUCUCGCGCUCCCAGCCCACCGCCAGGGGAUUGGAGGAGGUGCUCUGUUCCGCACAACGAGCUAGUGAAGCUCCAAGCGGGGGGUUAUCUCCCUCCGGCCUUCAUGGUCCCGGUUCGAGCCGGGCUGGUUACUUAUCAAGGUGGGAGGCAAGCGGAGGCUACCCCAAGCCCCAAUAAGGGGGAGCGGGUAUGCUUCGUCCAUUAUCUGAUAAGGGGACUCGGAUUCCCGAUACAUCCGUUCCUCCGCGGGCUCUUGGAGUUCUACGGACUACAGCUCCACCACCUCACACCCGCCUCUGUCCUGCAUAUCACGGGAUACGUAGCUCUUUGCGAGUUAUUCCUGGGCAUUAAGCCCCAUUUUGCUUUGUGGAAGAGGCUGUUCUGCCUCGUACCCCGUUCUUACAAGGGGUCCAUAUAUCAAGUGGGCGGCGCCGAAAUAUGGCGCAUCGCCGGGACCGGAUACCCAUCCGGUACCCCCAAGAAGGCGUCCGAAGACUGGCCCUCCGAGUGGUUUUAUAUAGGAGACGCUCCGCUACCGGACCCAGUCCGGAUUGGCCUCCCGGAGUUUAGUGCUGCUCCUCUGAAGAAACGCCUCAGCUGGCGCCCACGGAGCCCCCGAUUGGAGGAAGCCAAGAGCGUCCAUUACUUGAUGGGCCGAAUAAGAUUACUGGCCCAUUCCGGGUUGACCAUGAUUGGAGUCAUGGCGACAUGCAUCAUGCGGGGGGUACAGCCAUUGCAAUACAGAGGCCACCCCAUGUGGGAUUUCAACGGGGAGGACGAUGCCACCUGUCAUGGCUGCAAAGAGCCAGAUUCGACCGAGGAUCUGGUGGAGAUCCUGUCCAGCCUGUACAAGGGGGAGAAGGAGGACUUCCUUCGAAUGAACCCUUUGAAUGGGUUUUCCAUGAACAACCCUAGAGGAUGGGUAAGCGAACACCUUUAAGGUCUCAACCCAUGCUUCCGAAGUUUAAGCUUCUUACAUCAUGUCUUCGGCGCAGGAUCUACGCCGGACUGUGGAGGACAUGGUAAGUCCCGCUCCGCAACCCGAGGAUCCAGAAAGAUCCCUGGAUCCGGCCUCCGAAGAGGAUCCGGACAUCAAGGUGGAGCUGAUCGAUGGGGUAUUUCACCAGCUCAGCAUGGACAAUGCUUUGGUCGCCAUUACGACGGACUACCCCGGACUGUAUCCGGCUUCCCAGGUGACUGUGACCGAGGUCCGGACACCAUUGUCUCUUCCUUGCCCAUUUCUGACCUUCGCGAACGACGGUGUUUUACAGGAAGCGCCUUCACGGCGGGAACCCGAUCCCGCGGCAGCUGACCAACAAAGGUCAGUCCGGACCAGCAGGAGGAAAAGGAGCGCGGUACGGACUGAAAUGUCGCCGCAGAGGUAUAACUCGUAUUCGAAUUUUCAGAGCAACGCUCCUAGGAAGCGUCUGAGUGCUCAUGAUCUUUAUUAGGAGAAAAAGCGCUCGCCGAACUGCGAGCGCGGAAGUUGCCGAUCCAACCUACACCGGCCAGGCUCCAGCGCCCGGCCUGGAGGGGGAGGCAAGCGCAAGACGCGGGCUGGAUCCUUCUCCAACGGAGGAUACCGACAGACUGUCCGCCACCAAGUCUGAGGUGGAGAGCGCCAGGAACCAUAGGCGCCGCCGGACAGUAUUUCGCGAAGCGUGCUUCUCCCCUGAGGCGUUGGACGCCUUUAACGCAGGGGACGCGCACCUCCGUGCCGCUCAGGAUGGUUUUACCAGAGCCACGGAGCAGUAUGUGAAAGACAUACGGGUAAGGGAAUUUAUAUAUACCAGUAGCCCCCGAGACUUAAAGUAGUUAUGUUAACUGAUUUAAGGAUCAUUUGAAACGUAGGCUCUUACCGAGAAGAAUGCCCAGCUGUCUCAGGAGCUGCAAGAAUGCAAGGUCCAACUUGAGGCCGCACUUGCUGCCGCAGGAGGAGACGCAGAGACCCCUCCUGGUAACACAUUUUUAUUAAUAAAUAUAAGCGCUGUGCGGCGUGCGCGCAAGUCCGAUAGUGACAUUGCAGGUGCCUCCGGACAAGAUCCGGACAGGCAAGAAUUACUGCACCAGCUAAAGGCCGGCGAGAGAGUGCUGAAUAGGGUGCAGCAAGAAAGGAACCAGCUCCAAGAUGCAAACGCCAAGCUCGGAGAAGAGCUGAAAGGUGCUCAAGCCGGGCUGUCCAGCUCCGUUAAGGAGAACCAGCGGCUUCGUCGCGGCAUUUAUAGUAAGUGCUUGAGCGGACUCUUUUGAAAAGAAGAGUUCGGCGAGGAAGUAAAUUGACAUAGUAUGUCUUGUAGGUAUACUCACAGGUCGCCCUGCGGAGGAGAUGCCCAUAUCAAUGGGUGAUCAACUUCCCGAGCUGUUGCAACUGCUCGAACAAGUUCGGCAGGCAAUGAGCGGCGUCGUCCAGGCUUUAUGGCCAACCAUCUCCCUACCCAAGGGCCUUGGGGAGCUUGCGGAGAAGCUUCAGGGAGUGCGGCAGCGCUUCCGUUUGUGGAAGAUUUCGGCUUGCCGUCAAGGUGCCAGGGAGGCCUGGGCCAUGGUGAAGACGCGUUACAAGAAGGCGGAUCCCAACCACAUGGCCGAAGUUGGACCGGUGGGGCCCGAUGGGAAUGAGAUCCCUGUGAGUUUAGUGUACAACCAAGUAGAGUUGGCUGCUAAAUUUUCCCAACGGGACUGUAAGUUAGACAGCCUGUUAGACGGGAUUGAGGAGGAAUACAAUCAGUAAUUUUGACGAUGUAUGUUUUCCUUUAAAGUGACAUAUGAAAUGCCUUCUAGCCGGAUUGUAGAUCGUUUGUCUUUGCCGACCUUUUCGCUUCAACCUCGGGAUCCUAGAGUCCGGAGUGUGUCCGAAUACCUUUUUGGUUAAAAACAACCGGGGUAUGCAUGGAGACCAGGCGUAGGGGUCAUUAGUGCUUUAUCAGACAAGUGCCCAACUAGUUAUGUUAUAUUACAUGGUUAGUAAGAAACAUCUUCCAGAGAGAAUAGUUCCGUUAAGGGUUCCUUUCCCUGGGAGGCAUGCCCUAAAGUGCAUGUCCGGACUGCGAAAAAAGCAGAAUGAGCAUCUGGGGGCGAAUAAAUGAGUAGGUAAAAAAUCAUCUUUUAGGUCACCGACCGAAUAUUCCCUUAAGAACGCUAGCUUUCGGCUUCACCCAGUCUGAGGUACACAUCCGGCUGACCCGGCAGUAACAAUCCCAGAGGUGCUCCCUUUACCUCCUAGCCGAACAAUUGGGAACGUAGGGGUAAGCACAGGAGCCAGGCAACCCAGCUUGGCCAAAACUUAAGUCAUAUCGAUGCAUAUAAUGGUGAGCAAAAGGUACAUGUGGAAGCUUAACACAUGUGCUGGGCAUAAAACCCUUAUAAUUUGAGCUUCUGUAAAAGAAGCCCCCAGGUAUAAUGAGUGCGGAUGGCACAUCAAGUGUAUGUGAACAAUGCGAAAGUAGGCCCUUAGGGGCUUUUUAGUAAAAAAGGUUAUGGAGAGAGAAACAAAAGACAGCCGAAGUGUAAAAAAUUUGGACGGAGGAAGGGGACGAACUCUUAGUCCGGCGCUAGGCAUAGAAUCUUCGGAGGCGGGCUGCGUUCCAUGGGUUCGGCUCGAGUCGGUUAUCCGACGCAUUUCGUAGACGGUACGCCCCGCCGGUCAGGACUUGAUCGAUAAUGAAGGGGCCCUCCCAUUUGGGCUUGAGCUUGUCCUUUUUCUUGUCCGGCAGUUGUAAAACUAGUUCGCCGACGUUGUAAGUCUUGGCCCGUACUUCUCUGCUUUGAUAUCUUCGGGCCUACUGCUGAUAGAAUGCGGAACGAGCCUUGGCGACGUCGCGUUCUUCCUCCAACGCGUCCAAGCUGUCCUGCCGAUCCAGCUCGGCCUCUCUUUCUUCGUACAUGCGCACUCGAGGUGAGUCAUGAAUAAUGUCGCAGGGCAAGACUGCCUCUGCGCCGUAGACCAUAAAGAAUGGUGUGAAUCCGGUAGUGCGGUUAGGCGUUGUCCGCAGCCCCGAGAGUACGGAGUCAAGCUCCUCUACCCAGUGCGUGUUAGAUUUAGUAAGUGACCACACUAGUCUGGGUUUAAUGCCGCUCAUUAUUAGACCAUUUGCUCUUUCCACUUGACCGUUGGUUUGAGGGUGAUAGACAGAAGCGUAGUCGAGCUUGAUGCCCAUAUUUUUGCACCAUUACUUAACCUCAUCGGCUGUGAAGUUUGUGUCGUUGUCGGUGAUGAUGCUGCGGGAGACUCCGUAGCGGUGUACUACCCCGGAUAUAAAGUCUAUCACUGGUCCGGACUCUGCCGUUUUGACCAGUUUGGCCUCUAUCCAUUUGGUGAAUUUAUCCACCAUGACCAAUAGGUAUCUUUGCUUGUGGGUUCCCCCUUUAAGGGGUCCAACCAUAUCAAGCCCCCAGACCGCGAACGGCCAGGUAAUGGGUAUAGUUUUGAGGGAGGUGGGCGGCAUGUGGCUCUGAUUAGCAAAGAGCUGACAACCAACGCAUUUCUGGACUAAGUCCUGUGCAUCUGCCCGGGCCGUCGGCCAAUAAAAUCCUGUAUGGAAUGCCUUUCCUACAAGGGCCCGGGCUGCUGCGUGGUGUCCGCCUAGUCCGGCAUGGAUUUCAGCCAGGAGGUUUCGCCCUUCGUCUUCGGAGAUACACCUUUGAAGGACUCCGGUUGUACUUUUCUUAUAAAGUUGUCUCUCAUGGACCUUGUAGGCUUUGGAUCGCCGGACUAUGCAGCGGGCCUCGUUUUGGUCUUCGGGAAGUUCUUGUCUAAGCAAGUAGGCUAGGAAUGGUUCUGUCCACGCGGCGAUUACUGCCAUUAUGACGUGGGCUGAAGGUGUUAUGUCAUCGGCUGAAUCACCGAUUGGCGCGGUUUUUUCCGGUUUGUCACUUCCGGGCUCCUCUUCCCAUAGUACGGAUGGCUUGAAGAACCGUUCCAGGAAGAUAUUUGGAGGGACAGCAUCACGUUUUGCACCGAUGUGUGCCAGCAUGUCGGCCGCUUGGUUAUUAUCUCGGGCUAUGUGAUGGAAUUCGAGUCCUUCAAACCGAGCUGACAUUUUUAGGACAGCGUUGCGAUAUGCUGCCAUUUUUGGAUCCUUGGCGUCAAAGUCUCCGUUUAUUUGGGAUAUUGCAAGGUUUGAAUCCCCGCGCACCUCUAGGCGUUGAAUGCCCAUGGAGACUGCCAUCCGGAGACCAUGUAACAGGGCCUCGUAUUCGGCUGCGUUUUUGGAGUCCGUGUACAUUAUUUGAAGUACAUACUGGACUGUGUCUCCGGUUGGGGACGUCAGUACGACGCCAGCCCCCAGUACGGCCAACAUUUUAGAGCCGUCGACAUGCAUAGUCCAAUUGGAGUAUGCGCCGUACUCUUUAGGGAGUUCGGCUUCAGUCCAUUUGGCGACAAAGUCAGCCAAAACUUGUGACUUUAUAGCUCGCCGAGGUUAGUAAGUUAUAUCAAAUGGUAAGAGAUCAAUGGCCCAUUUUGCAAUCCUGCCCGUUGCGUCGCAGUUAUUUAUAAUGUCAUUGAGUGGUACUUCAGAGGCCACUGUAAUCGAACACUCUUGAAAGUAGUGUCAGAGCUUCCGGGACGCCAUGAACACCGCAUAUGCUAUCUUCUGAUAGUGCGGGUAACGAGACUUACAGGGGGUUAACACAGUGGAUACAUAAUACACUGGUUUUUGAAGAGGGAAUUUGUGCCCUUCUGUCUCUCGUUCGACGACGAGUACCGCGCUUACAACUUGAUGUGUUGCUGUGGUGUAUAACAACAUUGGUUCGCCUAAAUUGGGCGCAGCCAGGACCGGGUUUGUUGCCAAUAUGGCCUUUAUUUCUUCGAGUCCGGCAGUGGCAGCAUCCGUCCACUCGAAGUGUUCGGUGCGCCUGAGGAGGCGAUAGAGGGGCAACGCCUUUUCUCCUAGAUGGGAGAUAAAGCGGCUUAGAGCUGCCACGCAUCCUGUUAAUCUUUGUAUUUGUUUGAGGUCUUUUGGAAUGUCCAAUUGUGACAGAGCUCGGAUUUUAGUUGGGUUUGCUUCGAUUCCUCUACCGGAUACAAUGAAGCCUAGCAGCUUUCCGGCUGGUACGCCGAAAACACAUUUUUCCGGGUUCAGCUUGAUGUCGUAUGCUCUGAGGUUGUCGAACGUGAGCCUCAAAUCGUCUACUAGAGUUUCGACGUGUUCUGUUUUGACGACUACGUCGUCUACGUAUGCCUCGACUGUUUUGCCGAUCUGGGUAGCCAGGCAUGUUUGAAUCAUGUGCUGAUAUGUUGCCCCGGCGUUUUUAAGUCCGAAGGGCAUCGUGUUGAAGCAGAAUGGUCCGUAAGGAGUGAUGAAUGCCGUUGCGGCUUGGUCUGCUUCUACCAUCUUGAUUUGAUGGUAGCCAGAGUAUGCGUCGAGGAAGCACAAUGAAUCGUGCCCUGCGGUAGCAUCGAUAAUUUGGUCGAUGCGGGGGAGGGGGAAGGGAUCCUUUGGGCAAGCCUUAUUGAGGUCUUUAAAAUCGACACAGAGGCGCCAGGAUUUGUCCUUCUUUGGUACCAUUACCAGAUUUGCUAGCCAAUCCGGAUGUUUGAUAUCUCUGAUGAAUCCGGCUUCCAAUAGCUUGGCUAGCUCUUCUCCCAUUGCCUGUCUUUUGGGUUCGGAAAAUCGUCGAAGAGCCUGUUUGACUGGCUUAAAUCCUUUUAGGAUGUUUAGGCUGUGUUCUGCCAAUCUGCGUGGGAUUCCGGGCAUAUCCGAAGGAUGCCAGGCGAAAAUGUCCCAAUUUUCCUGAAGGAAUUCGUGCAGUGCGGCGUCUACCUCGGGGUUCAAUUGUGCCCCAAUGGAGGCUGUCUUUGUUUGGUCCGGUGGAUGGACCUGGAAUUUUAUUAUUUCAUCUACUGGUUUGAAGGAGGCGGACUUCGAUCUUUUAUCGAGUAUCACAUCGUCCCUGUUCACCGUAGAGCGCAGCGCGGUGAGUUCUUCUGCUGCUAAGGCUUCGGAUAGUGCCUCAAGGGCUAGUGGGGCUGUCUUAUUUUCGGCGCGGAGUGCUAUGUCCGGAUCACUAGCGAGAGUUAUUAUUCCGCCGGGCCCAGGCAUUUUGAGCUUCGUGUACCCGUAAUGAGGUACUGCUUGAAAAAUUGUGAAUGCCUCUCGUCCUAAUAUAGUGUGAUAUCCGCUGCUGAACGGGGCCACUUGGAACGUGACUUCUUCCGAUCUGUAAUUGUCCGGCGAGCCGAACACCACAUCGAGUGUGAUUUUUCCGGUGCAGCGCGCUUCCCGGCUAGGGAUUAUUCCUCUGAAGGUUGUGCUGCUUCGCUCAAUAUGGCUCCAAUCGAUUUCCAUUUUUCGCAGAGUUUCCUCGUAAAUGAGGUUAGUCCGCUGCCGCCAUCCAUGAGGACUUUUGUCAGUCGAAAGCCGUCCACUAUGGGACUAAGCACCAGUGCGGCUGGCGCUCUGGCUGUUCGGAAUUUAGGCUCGUCGCCGGCGUUGAAGGUAAUAGCUGUGUCGCUCCAUGGAUUUGCUGUUGCCACUUGGUAGACUUCGGCGAGUCCGCAGAUUGUUCGUUUUCGCAUAUUAUUUGAUGUGAAGGUCUCGAAGACUGUUGAUACCGUACUGGUUUUGUUGGGGUGGUUUUCCGGGGCUAGAAGCUCCUCGCCACUUUUGGCCACCUACCGUAAUACCCAACAUGCUCGAAGGCUAUGUGUUGGGACGGCUCCUCCUGUACUAUGCAGCUUACAGGCUUCAAUGACGAUUAGUCCGGCGGAAUAUCCCAAAAUUUGUUUUCGGAUGUCCGGAAACUCUCCAUCGCACAGUACUUUCGUAUUAUGGACGCCAGAUCGGUGAAGCAUGUAAUUUUACGACGAUCGAUGGCGUUCAAUAUUCCCUUGUCUAUGCAAUUAUUGCGGAAGAUUGAGAUUGCGUUUUGCUCUCGGCAGUCCUUUAUCCUGUCCAUAACCAGGACGAAUCUGGCCCAGUAGUGAUGUACUGUUUCAGCGGGCUCUUGCCGUAUAAGAGAUAGACCGCAUAUGUCUGGGCGGGUGGGUGGACUAAAAUCCGGAUCCCUGCCCAUCUUGGGGCUUAAAGGCCGAGAAGUCUCCGAAUUCGGAAGCUUGGGUUGCUGGAUACGAUCCAGCGAGUCCGGAGCGAUGCAUGAUUUUAUGUUCAAUGCUCGAUCGAAGUCCGUCCAUCCGCGGAAAUCCGGCAUGGAGGGUUCGGGAAUCCGGACGUGAAUAGUUUUCAAUACAGGCGAAGAGUUGCCGUAUUGCUCCUCUACCACUGCGACGUGGUGGGUGGCCUGGGGAGAGUUAAUCUCUCUCAGAUCGGUUUUAAGCCCAAUCUGGUUGUAGUCUGUAGCGACUCCCAGGGCGGUGAUGCGAUCCAAGAGCUCGUUAACAGACGAGAACUCUAUUGGAUCCAACUGUUCGGCCGCUUUCGAGCUGACGCGAAGAUUGCUUCCGACGACUUGAGAAGUCUUUGUCGAAGCGUGGGCCGGACAGGCGGUCAUAAGAAAACCACCUAGCCGGAUAGUUUGGCCGGCGGCCAAGGCCCCUUCGGCGAAAACACCGUCUUUGAAGACGGGUGGAGGCAUCCUACCUAUCGGUGACGACACAGAGGAACUCUCAAUGAAAGCACCAAUGUCGGUGUCAAAACCGGCGGAUCUCGGGUAGGGGGUCCCGAACUGUGCGUCUAGGCGGAUGGUAACAGGAGACGAGGGACACGAUGUUUUUACCCAGGUUCGGGCCCUCUCGAUGGAGGUAAAACCCUACGUCCUGCUUGAUUAAUAUUGAUGAUAUGGGUAGUACAAGAGUGGAUCUACCACGAGAUCAAGGAGGCUAAACCCUAAAGCUAGCCUAUGGUAUGAUUGUUGUAAUGUAUGUUGUGUCCUACGGACUAAAGCCCUCCGGUUUAUAUAGACACCGGAGGAGGCUAGGGUUACACAGAGUCGGUUACAAUGGUAGGAGAUCUACAUAUCCGUAUUGCCAAGCUUGCCUUCCACGCCAAGGAAAGUCCCAUCCGGACACGGGACGGAGUCUUCAAUCUUGUAUCUUCGUAGUCUUGGAGUCCAGCGGACGAUGAUAGUCCGGCUGUCCGGACACCCCCUAGUCCAGGACUCCCUCAGCCACCCUAAGAGAAUCGAGCAAGAUUCUUAGAGAAAUGAUAUUGAUGUACCUAGUUCUUCAAGAAAGAAGAAAAAGAAGAAUGAUUGGACUUUGCGAACUUCUAGUGAACCUAUUGCUGAACCACCUGAGAAUCCAAAUGAUAUCUCUAUGUCUGAUGCCGAAACACAAUAUGGUAAUGAACAUGAACCUAGUGAAAAUGUUAAUUAUAAUGUUCAUGAUAAUGCUCAACCUAGUAAUGAUAAUGAUGUAGAAGUUGAACCUGUUGUUGAUCUUGAUAACCCACAAUCAAAGAAUCAACGUUAUGAUAAAAGAGACUUCGUUGCUAGGAAACAUGGUAAAGAAAGGGAACCAUGGGUUCAGAAACCCAUGCCUUUUCCUCCAAAACCAUCCAAGAAAAAGGAUGAUGAGGAUUUUGAGCGCUUUGCUCAAAUGAUUAGACCUAUCUUUUUGCGUAUGCGAUUAACUGAUGUGCUCAAAACAAAUCCUUCUGCUAAGUAUAUGAAGGAUAUUAGUACUAAUAAAAGAAAGAUACCUAAAGCUGAAAUUUCCACCAUGCUUGCUAAUUAUACUUUUAAGUGUGGAAUACCAAAGAAACUUGGAGAUCCCGGAGUACCUACUAUACCAUGCUCCAUUAAGAGAAAUUAUGUUAAAACUGCUUUAUGUGAUCUUGGAGCCGGUGUUAGUGUUAUGCUUCUCUCUUUAUAUCGUAGACUUGACUUGAAUAAGUUGACACCUACUGAAAUAUCUUUGCAAAUGGCUGAUAAAUCAACUGUUAUACUUGUCGGUAUUUGUGAGGAUGUGCCUGUUGUGGUUGCAAACGUCACUAUUUUAACGAACUUUGUUAUUCUUGAUAUUCCCGAGGAUGAUAGUAUGUCUAUUAUUCUUGGAAGACCUUUUCUUAAUCCUGUAGGGGCUGUUUUUGGUUGCAACAAAGGCAAUGUCACUUCUCAUGUUAAUGGCAACGAGCACACGGUACACUUUCCAAGGAAACAACCUCAAGUUUAUAGUAUUAACUCUAUUGGAAAAAUUCCAUCGAUUAUAUUUGGAGGUUUUGAAUUUCCUCUCCCUACUGUCAAGAAAAAGUAUGAUAUAUUUAUUAUUGGGGAUGUCCAUAUCCCCGUUGAGGUAACUUAGUGUUAUUCGAAAUUUUUCCGGUUCCGUGAUUAUUCGGAAUGAGUUUGUUAACAAGACUUGAUCAACCUUGUUAGUGGGUUCAUUUUGAUGAUCACGAGAUGGAUGAAACUAGAAGCACAACCUUUUGUACCCUCUUUAUAUUUUCUGUUAUUUAGUAGAAAUAAAGUAAAAUAGUAUUUUUCUUCUGUCUGUUUCCCGACUUAUCCAUGCAAUAUAAAAAUAUCCCGAAAAUAAAAGUCCUCAGAAUGCCAUGCCAUAUUAAUAUGAUUUUUUCGGGAAUAUUUGAGGAUUUACUGUGCAAAAAUCACCGCGGGGGGAGCUGCCACCUGGUCACGAGGGUGGAGGGCGCGCCCUACCCCCUGGGCGCGCCCCCUGCCUCGUGGGCCCACGAUGGCCCUCCUUCACUUAUCCCUGCACCCAUCUUCUUUCUCUGCCUCACACAAACACGAAAAACCAACUCAAGCACGAGUUCCAGCCCCUAUUGUUGUGAUUUUCAAUCUCGUUGCUCAAAGCACCUCUCGCAAAACUGCUUGGGGAGAUUGUUCCUUGGUAUGUGACUCCUCCAUUGAUCCAGUUAGUUUUUGUUCUAGUGCUCUAUUCAUUGCAAAUUUAUGCUGGAUAGGUGACCAUGUUCUUGAGCUUUCAUGUCAAAUUCAUAUGGUCCCAGGUAGUUCUAAUGCUUGAUUUAGGCUCUAGGCACUCGUGGGAGUAGUUGCUAUCAAUUUUAUUGAAGUUGGUUCACUUUUAUUUGAAGUUACUAAAAAUUUCAGAAUUUUUUAGAGGAAACAAUAUGUUUAGGAGGAUGUUCCAAGGUGGUCCUUCAAGGAAGCAAGGUCCCAGGCUUGCAAUGCGUGAUGCUGACGAGGAACCACCAAGAGACGCUCCUGUGAGGCCCUGUGAAUGGCCUUCGGAAAAUUUUAUGAAUCAAGCGGGAAUCAAAGAAGAAUUUAGCACAUAUUUGCGUAACGCCGGUCUUGAGGACUUUGAAGCUGACAAAUGCCCCCAAUAUCAUGAUCUCACAAGUUCAUUUGUGAGGAGGUUUGAGUUUUUAUCUUCACGUAAUUCUCCUUCAGUCAUGUUUGACCUUUAUGACAAAUCUUAUACCAUGGACUUAGAGGAUUUCACUUCUGCUUGCAAACUUCCAUCAUGGGGUAGUGUCAGGGAUCCCCCUAAAUCUGAAUAUAGAGACUUUCUUGCUAAAAUAACUGUGGGGGAAUCUAGAGAUAUAACACAAGCCACUUUAGGGAGCGUUCACUUUCCUGCUUUACAUUAUUUUGCUCUCUUUAUAGGUAGAUGCAUUAAUGCUAAGGAUGAAGCAUGUCACAUGUGUGCCCCUGAUCUCAGCAUUCUCAGAAGUGCUGUGUUAGGAGACCAAUCUUAUCAUAUGGGAGCCAUCGUAGCUCGGAGGUUGCAUCAUAACAGAUAUAAUGGAGAUUUCUUUGGAGGAAUUUAUGCAACCCACUUAGCUAAUUUUCUUGAGAUAGACAUUCGUGAGGGUGAUAUGGAGUUACCCCCUACCUAUUUAGAUUUUGUUUCUAUGGUUUCCCACCAGUUUAUCGAGAGGACUGAACCACCUCUCCAGUAUCGACUAAUCUUUAACAAACGGCAUAUAGUCCAUAUUACUCUUCCUGCUCCUGCCUUCUUUGAUUCUCGGACAAAAGGAAGAUAUAUUAUUACCAGAGAGGAGGCAGAUGAGUACGAGAAGAGAGCGGAGGCUGCUCGACGCCAUGUUGUAGCUCAGGAGGCGAUAGCCGCUGCAUCGCAGUACGACCCCAGUUUCACCUACGGGUAUCCGCCAGGCUAUCCCUGGCAAUAGACCAACUUAGGCCAAAAGCCUAAGCUUGGGGGUGUAUGUAUUUCCCACCGACAUUACAUUCAUGUUCACACACACUCAUUGCUAGAUGUCGGUGUUCAUACUCUUUCACUGUAAUAUCCAUGCUAGAUUACUUUCUUUUUCCUGCCUUCUUCUUCUUGUGUGUUUAAUAAACCUUAAGAAAAACAAAAAAAAUAAUAGUAGUUUAUUUCUUUGCUGUAGCAUGCCACUACUUUUACCGCAAGCUAGUAGCAUGCCACUACAUCCCUGUGUCAUAACCGCCCUUAUGUAAGAUAUUGGCGAGUUUGUAAUAAGAUUGUUGAGCAGCCUCAGCUCAACCCUGUAAUAUAUUUAAUGCUACUGGCCCUCUGUUCAUCAAGUUUUUGUCUACCAGUGAGGAUGACUUUUCCUAUACUGGGAUUUAAAGAUCAAUUUUCUCAAUGAUCAUUUUAUUGAAAAACCGGUCGUGACAUGUUUCAGGUGAAGAAGCUGGAUUUUACGUUUGUCCGCCUUUAUGCCUUGCACAUGAACUACAUCAUUGGGGUUGAGCAGAUACGUUUUAUCUGUGUCGCUGACCCGUACUACAUGCACGAGGGCUUCUUGGGAGUCUGUGCACAGCAUCGUGAAUACGCGAGGGAUUACAUCGUCAGUUUCAUGCUCGCCAAUAAGGACAAGGAGGCGAUUCUCGUGCCUUCCGUGUAAGUCAUCCGCGCUGCUAUCCUUCCUUCGAUUUCAAUAAUUCAUUUGCACGGUGGAGGCUAAUUAAUUUGAGGUGUACUUAUUUUGCGCAGGGGCGGGCGCGCCGUCCUCAUCAUCCUCUACCCCCGAUUCUCCCACGCUCUUUACUUGGACCCGUCGAAGAACAUUCACAAAAAGGAUUACACCCACAUCAAAGAUGUUCUCGAUAGUGCUAUGUUUUACUACCAAGCAAGGGGUGGAGAGGUUAGGGACAAGAAGAGAAGGGGCGGCAGGGCCGCCUUCAGCCAUAAGACCGACUUCUGCUGCAUCCAACAAUCGAACGAUUCUCUUAAUGAUGGAUUCUAUGUCCUACACCACAUGCUGGAGUACAGACGGGAUCACUAGAACCUUCACAAGGCACCUAGAUCUGGCGAUGCCCAUAUUCUGCAAUGGGCAAAGGACAUAGAAGAUAUCGAGGAUCAUCGACUUCGAGCUGAGUUCUAUAACAUCCAGCGCGAACUUGCCCAAAUCAUCAUGAAUGAGGUGUCGGAAAAACAGGGAUGUUCCAUGCAGAAGGACAAAUGUCGCGGGAAGACGUCCGAACAUGGAUAGCCUCUCAGCGUCUCGACAUGAAGCCUUUCACUAAGCUCGAUGACUAUCUCCCUGACAUGGAUGGAUGGCACGACAUGAUGGAGUGAUUGUCGAUAUAUGACAAUGUGUCCGUUUAGUCCAUACUUUCUUUUAUGACAAAACUUUGAGUUAUGCAUGGUGAAACUUUAUUUGUGAUGUAAUUAAAUCGUCCUCCUCCUCGACUAGCGAAAAUCACUCUAGUUAGGUCACUUUGGGUACGAUGAACUUUGUUAUUUAUGCUUAUGAUAUGUUGUUUCUAUUUUUGCCAAAUCUGUCUCUUUCUGUUGCUCAACUAUAUAUGUUGCAUAUCAUCGACUCAUGUGAUGAUGCAGGUGCAUAGAUCAUAGAUGGCGAAGAAGUGCUACGCCAGGAGUAUAUAUACGACAAGUGGCAGGAGUGUCAGGCCCAGGUGUACCGAUUUUCGGUUUACGAGCGACACGCAGUACUUAGUUUAGGUUCACGCUAAUGCGAGAGAGGGAUACGAACUCAUGUACUCAAAGUGAUAGCUAUUCUCGCGUAUAUCAUUGUUUAGAUGGAUGACGAUGUAUUUGCAAGUAAUCGAGACUUGUAUCGCUAUUUUUGAGAUUGAUGACGAGAGACCACUUUGUGUUGGAUGAUGAUUAUGAUGAUGACAUGAUUUGAUGAGACUAAUUGUAUGUAUAUGCUAUGAUUACAUUUGUAUGUGGAUGAUAUGCUAAAGAUUAUUGUAUAAAAAGUAUUCAAUUACAAAACAAAUAAAAAACAAAUAUGCAGGAAAAAAACUAAUAAAACUAGUAGUAGCGAGGGGGGGGGGAAUUUAGCAGUAGCGUCGACUUACCAGUAGCGCUUCCUGCUAAACAGCGCUGUAGAUAAUAUCGGUAGCGCCCUUUUCCAAAGAGCGCUAUAGCUAUUCAUCAGUAGCAGUAGCGUGGGUCAACAGGCGCUACUGCUAUACAUUAGCUGUAGCGCCUUAUUAGUAGCGCCGGCACCCGCGCUACUGAGAGGGUCAAAACCCGCGCUGCUGCUAGGCUUUUCCCUAGUAGUGCGCAACUCUGAAGAUUGGGACCCAACGAAGGUAAGGAGUCAGGUAUGACACCUAAGUUUGAUUGUGUUAAAUCUUUUAUGGAUACCGAUAUUUUCCGUAAGUUUAGCACUAAAUAUGGACUUGACUCUGAAAUAGUAGCUUCUUUCUGUGAAUCUUUUGCUACUUAUGUUGAUCUCCCCAAGGAGAAGUGGUUUAAAUAUCAUCCUCCUAUAGAAGUAAAAGUAGCUGCACCUAUUAAAUUUGAAGAAAAGAUUGUCACUUAUAAUGAUCCUAUUGUUCCCACUUCUUAUGUUGAGAAACCACCUUUCCCUGUUAGAAUGAAGGAUCAUGCUAAAGCUUCAACUGUUGUUCGUAAAAGCAAUAAUAGAACUUAUACACCUCCUGAGCAAGUCAAAGUAGAACCUAAUAUUUCUAUUGUGAAAGAUCUCUUUUCUGACAAUAUUGAUGGGCAUGUUAUUCAAUUCUGUGGUGAAACUGCCAGAAUUGCUAAACCCUGUGAUAAAGAUAAACAUAGACCUGUGGUAGGCGUGCCUGUUAUUUCUGUUAAAAUAGGAGAUCAUUGUUAUCAUGGCUUAUGUGAUAUGUGUGCUAAUGCUAGUGUUAUACCCAUUGACUUAUACAAAGAAAUUAUGCAUGAUAUUGCACCUGCUGAGUUAGAAGAUAUUGAUGUUACAAUUAAACUUGCCAAUAGAGAUACUAUUUCUCUUGUGGAAAUUGUUAGAGAUGUUGAAGUCUUGUGUGGGAAAACCAAAUAUCCCGCUGAUUUUCUUGUUCUUGGUUCUCCACAAGAUAGCUUUUGUCCCAUUAUAUUUGGUAGGCCCUUCUUGAAUACUAUUAAUGCUAAGAUAGACUACGAAAAGAAUGUUGUUACUAUUGGCUUGGAUGAUAUGGUUCAUGAGUUUAAUUUCUCUAAAUUUAGUAAGCAACAUCGUGAGGAGGAAUUGCCUAGUAAGGAUGAAAUUAUUGGUCUUGCUUCCAUUGCCGUACCUCCUAGUGAUCUUUUAGAACAAUAUUUGCUAGACCAUGAAAAUGAUAUGUUCAUGAAUGAAAGAAGGGAAAUAGAUGAAGUAUUCUUUAAACAGGAACCUAUUCUGCAACACAAUUUGCCUGUUGAAAUCCUAGGGGAUCCCCCCUCCACCCAAGGGUAAUCCCGUGUUUGAGCUUAAACCGUUGCCUGAUAAUCUUAAAUAUGCUUAUCUUGAUGAAAAGAAAAUAUAUCCUGUCAUUAAUAGUGCUAACCUUUCAGAGCAUGAAGAAGAAAGAUUAUUGAAAACUCUGAAGAAGCACUGUGCAGCUAUUGGAUAUACACUUGAUGAUCUUAAGGGCAUUAGUCCCACUCUAUGUCAACAUAAAAUAAAUUUGGAAGCGGAUGCCAAACCAGUUUGUGAUCCUCAACGACGUUUGAAUCCUAAAAUGAAAGAAGUGGUAAGAAAAGAAAUACUCAAGCUUCUAGAGGCAGGUAUAAUUUAUCCCGUUGUUGAUAGUCAGUGGGUAAGUCCUACCCAUUGUGUCCCUAAGAAGGUAGGUAUUACUUUUGUCCCUAAUGAUAAAGAUGAAUUGAUCCCUCAAAGAAUUAUCACAGGUUAUAGGAUGGUAAUUGAUUUCCGCAAAUUAAAUAAAGCUACUAAGAAAGAUCAUUACCCCUUACCUUUUAUUGAUCAAAUGCUAGAAAGAUUAUGCAAACAUACACAUUAUUGCUUUCUAGAUGGUUAUUCUGGUUUCUCUCAAAUACCUGUGUCAGCUAAGGAUCAAUCAAAGACUACUUUUACAUGCCCUUUUGGUACUUUUGCUUAUAGACGUAUGCCUUUUGGUUUAUGUAAUGCACCUGCUACCUUUCAAAGAUGCAUGAUGGCUAUAUUCUCUGACUUCUGUGAAAACAUUUGUGAGGUUUUCAUGGACGAUUUUUCCGUCUAUGGUUCCUCUUUCGAUGAUUGCUUAAGCAAUCUUGAUCGAGUUUUGCAGAGAUGUGAAGAAACUAAUCUUGCCUUGAAUUGGGAAAAGUGCCACUUUAUGGUUAAUGAAGGUAUUGUCUUGGGGCACAAAGUUUCUGAAAGAGGUAUUGAAGUUGAUAAGGCCAAGGUUGAUGCUAUUGAAAAGAUGCCAUGUCCCAAGGACAUUAAAGGUAUAAGAAGUUUCCUUGGUCACACCGGAUUUUAUAGGAGGUUCAUUAAGGACUUCUCAAAAAUCUCUCGGCCUCUGACUAAUUUAAUAAAAAAAGAUGUACCGUUUGUCUUUGAUGAUGAUUGUGUAGAAGCAUUUGAAAUACUUAAGAAAGCAUUAGUCUCUGCACCUGUUGUUCAUCCACCUGAUUGGAAUUUACCCUUUGAAAUUAUGUGUGAUGCUAGUGAUUAUGCUGUAGGUGCUGUUCUAGGGCAAAGAGUUGAUAAGAAAUUGAAUGUUAUCCAUUAUGCUAGUAAGACUCUAGACAAUGCUCAAAGAAACUAUGCUACUACCGAAAAGGAACUUUUAGCAGUUGUAUUUGCUUGUGAUAAAUUCAGACCCUAUAUUGUUGAUUCUAAAGUAACUAUUCACACUGAUCAUGCUGCUAUUAAAUAUCUUAUGGAAAAGAAGGAUGAAAAACAUAGACUCAUUAGAUGGGUUCUCUUGCUGCAAGAAUUUGAUUUGCAUAUUGUUGAUAGAAAAGGAGUUGAGAACCCCGUUGCAGAUAACUUAUCUAGGUUAGAGAAUGUUCUUGAUGACCCACUACCUAUCGAUGAUAGCUUCCCUGAUGAGCAAUUAAAUGUCAUAACCACUUCUCGUAGCACUCCAUGGUAUGCUGAUUUUGCUAAUUAUAUUGUUGCUAAAUUUAUACCACCUAGCUUCACAUACCAACAAAAGAAAAGGUUUUUCUAUGACUUGCGACAUUACUUUUGGGAUGAUCCACAUCUUUAUAAAGAAGGAGUAGAUGGUGUCAUUAGACGUUGUGUACCUGAGCAUGAACAGGAACAGAUCUUACGCAAGUGUCACUCCGAAGCUUAUGGAGGACACCAUGCUGGAGAUAGAACUGCACAUAAGGUAUUGCAAUCUGGUUUUUAUUGGCCUACUCUCUUCAAGGAUGCUCGUAAGUUUGUUUUGUCUUGCAAUGAAUGUCAAAGAAUUGGUAAUAUUAGUAGACGUCAAGAAAUGCCUAUGAAUUAUUCACUUGUUAUUGAACCAUUUGAUGUUUGGGGCUUUGAUUAUAUGGGACCUUUUCCUGCCUCUAAUGGAUACACACAUAUUUUAGUUGCUGUUGAUUACGUUACUAAGUGGGUAGAAGCUAUUCCAACUAGUAGUGCUGAUCAUAACACUACUAUUAAAAUGCUUAAGGAAGAUAUUUUUCCGAGGUUUGGAGUCCCCAGAUAUUUAAUGACUGAUGGUGGUUCACACUUUAUUCAUGGUGCUUUCCGUAAGAUGCUUGCUAAAUAUGACGUUAAUCAUAGGAUUGCAUCUCCUUAUCACCCGCAGUCUAGUGGUCAAGUAGAGUUGAGCAAUAGAGAGCUCAAGUUAAUUUUGCAAAAGACUGUUAAUAUGUCUAGAAAGAAUUGGUCCAAGAAACUUGAUGAUGCAUUAUGGGCCUAUAGAACUGCAUAUAAAAAUCGUAUGGGUAUGUCUCUGUAUAAAAUGGUCUAUGGAAAAGCUUGUCACUUACCUCUCGAACUAGAACAUAAGGCAUAUUGGGCUAUUAAAGAGCUCAACUAUGAUUUCAAACUUGCCGGUGAGAAGAGGUUAUUUGAUAUUAGCUCACUUGAUGAAUGGAGAACCCAAGCUUAUGAAAAUGCCAAGUUGUUUAAAGAAAAAGUUAAAAGAUGGCAUGACAAAAGGAUACAAAAGCGUGAGUUUAAUGUAGGUGAUUAUGUAUUUCUAUACAACUCUCAUUUAAGAUUUUUUGCAGGAAAACUUCUCUCUAAAUGGGAAGGUCCCUACGUUAUUGAAGAGGUCUAUCGUUCCGGUGCCAUAAAAAUCAACAACUUCGCAGGCACAAACCCGAAGGUGGUAAACAGUCAAAGAAUCAAACAUUAUAUCUCAGGUAAUCCUGUAAAUGUUGAAACCAAUAUUACUGAAACCGUAACCCUGGAGGAAUACAUAAAGGACACUUUCCAGAACGUUCCAGACUCCGAAAAGGAAUAGGUAUGUGGUACGGUAAGUAAACCGACUCCAAAACAAUUUUUAAGGCAAUAUUUCUCCAUUUUGGAUUAUUUAGAAAAAUAGAAAAAUAAGUAGCAAUCCGGGGAGGACACGAGGCCUCCACGAGGGUGGAGGGCACGCCCUACCCCCUGGGCGCGCCCCCUACCUCGUGAGCACCUCGUGUGCCCUCCGGACUCCAUUUCCUUGCACGAUACGUAUUUUGGUCGGUAAAAAUUCAUUAUAUAUACUCCCGAAGGUUUUAACUCUCGUAUCACGCAAAUCUCCCCUGUUCUUGUUUCGAGUUGUUUUUCUGACAGGUCUAGAUCAUCAUGACGGCCCCAAGUGCUUCCAAGGAUAAGUUCUUCGAGAAGGUGAUCAACCCUUACCUCGCGGAGGUGCUGCGACACCCUCAAACCAUUGAGAUGCGUGAUGGGUUGCUGCACAUCCACGACGUUGAGGGACCAAAGGGAACCGGAAGCAUGGAGUCGAGGCUCGAAGCAAUGGAGCAACAAGUUUUCAAAUGUCAGGGGAUGGUGGAGCGUGGAAUCAACGCUAGCCACAAGAUGCUCACAGAGUUCCAUAAUUGUUAGAGGAAUUACUAGGGAACGGUCUAGGAUUAAAGUUUCCUCUAUAAGCAUUGUUACCAAAAUUAUUCCUACCAACAAAAUUCACAUCCAUAGAUUCAUUGUUAUUCUCAAUCAAAGUAGACAAAGGCAUAUCAUUGGGAUCAAUAGGAGCACUCUUAGUAGCAAACAAUUUCAUUAGUUCAACCAACUUUCAAAUCAAAACAUUAAUUUCUGCUAUAGCAUGCACUUUUUUACUAGUAGAUCUUUCGGUGUGCCAUUGAGAAUAAUUAGCCAUAAUAUUAUCAAGGAGUUUAGUAGAUUUUCCUAAGGUGAUUUCCAUAAAAGUGCCUCCCGCGGCCGAAUCUAAAAGAUUUCUAGAAGCAAAAUUCAAUCCGGCAUAAAGUUUUGUAUAAUCAUCCAUAAGUUCAAACCAUGAGUAGGGCAAUUGUGAAUCAUUAAUUUCAUUCUUUCCCAAGAUUGGGCAACAUGCUCAUGAUCAAGUUGUUUAAAAUUCAUAAUAUCGUUUCUAAGAGAGAUGAUCUUAGCGGGAGGAAAAUACUUAGAGAUAAAGGCAUCUUUGCAUUUAUUCCAUGAAUCGGUACUAUUUUUGGGCAAAGAUGAAAACAAAACUUUAGCACGAUCUCUAAGUGAAAACGGAAAUAACUUCAAUUUAAGAAUAUCAUUAUCUGUAUCUUUCUUCUUUUGCAUCUCACACAAAUCAACAAAGUUGUUUAGAUGGGUAGCGGCAUCUUCACUAGGAAGGCCGGAGAAUUGAUCUUUCAUAACAAGAUUCAGCAAAGCAGCAUUGAUUUCACAAGAUUCAACAUCAUUCAUAGGAGCAAUCGGAGUGCUAAGGAAAUCAUUAUUAUUGGUAUUGGAAAAGUCAGACAAUUUGGUAUUAUCUUGCACCAUCGCGACAAGCAAUCCAACACAUAAGCAAACAAAAAUGCAAGCGAAAGAGAGAGGAGAUUGGGAAAGAGAGGGCGAAUAAAACGGCAAGGGUGAAGUGGGGGAGAGGAAAACGAGAGGCAAAUGGCAAAUAAUGUAAUGUGAGGGAGAUGAGUUUGUGAUGGGUACUUGGUAUGUCUUGACUUGACCGAAGACCUCCCCGGCAACGGCGCCAGAAAUCCUUCUUGCUAUGUCUUGAGCUUGCGUUGGUUUUCCUUGAAGAGGAAAGGGUGAUGUAGCAAAGUAGCGUAAGUAUUUCCCUCAGUUUUUGAGAACCAAGGUAUCAAUUCAGUAGGAGGCUCCUCAAAAGUCCCACGCACCUACACAAACAAACAAGAACCUCGCGACCAACGCAAUAAAGGGGUUGUCAAUCCCUUCACGGCCACUUGCGAAAGUGAGAUCUGAUAGAGAUAGUAUGCUAAGAUAAAUAUUUUUGGUAUUUUUAUGAUAGAUUGGAAAAGUAAAGAUGCAAAUAAAAGUAGAUGACUUAUAUGAUAAAAGAUAGAGCCGGGGGCCAUAGGUUUCACUAGCGGCUUCUCUCAAGAUAGCGCAAGUAUUACGGUGGGUGAACAAAUUACUGUCGAGCAGUUGAUAGAAAAGCGAAUAGUUAUGAGAUUAUCUAGGCAUGAUCAUGUAUAUAGGCAUCACGCCCAUGACAAGUAGACCGACUCCUGCAUGCAUCUACUACUAUUACUCCACACAUCGACCGACUCCUGCCUGCAUCUAGAGUAUUAAGUCCAUAAAGAACAGAGUAACGCAUUAAGAAAGAUGACAUGAUGUAGAGGGAUAAACUCAUGCAAUAUAAUAUAAACCCCAUCUUUUUAUCCUCGAUGGAAACAAUACAAUACGUGCCUUGCUACCCCUGCUGUCACUGGGAAAGGACACCGCAAUAUUGAACCCAAAGCUAAGCACUUCUCUCAUUGCAAGAAAGAUCAAUCUAGUAGGCCAAACCAAACUGAUAAUUUUAAGAGACUUGCAAAGAUAACUUAAUCACACAUAAAAGAAUUCAGAGGAGAUUCAAAUAUUUCUCAUACAUAAACUUGAUCAUAAACCCACAAUUCAUCGGAUCUCGACAAACACACCGCAAAAAGAGUUACAUCGAAUAGAUCUCCAAGAAGAUCAAGGAGAACUUUGUAUUAAUAUUCAAAGAGAGAGAAGAAGCCAUCUAGCUAAUAACUAUGGACCCGAAGGCCUGUGGUAAACUACUCACAACUCAUCGGAGAGGCUAUGGUGUUGAUGUAAAAGCCCUCCAUGGUUGAUUCCCACUUCGGCGAGCGCCGACGAAGGCUCCAAGAUGGGAUCUCACGGAUACAGAAGGUUGCGGUGGUGGAAAUAGUUUUUUGUGGUGCUCCUGGAUGUUUUCAUGGUACAUGGGUAUAUAUAGGAGGAAUAAGUAAGUCGAUGAACGCUCGAGGGGCCCACGAGGGUGGGGGUGCACCUAGCCCUAGGGGGCGCGUCGGGCACCCUCGUGGCCGCCUCCUCUAUUGCUUGAUGUCCACUCCAAGUCCCCUGGAUCACGUUUGUUCCAAAAAGAUCGCUCCCGAAGGUUUCAUUCCGUUUGGACUCCGUUUGAUACUCCUUUCCUUCGAAACACUGAAAUAGGCAAAAAGACAGCAAUUCGGGAUGGGCCUCCGGUUAGUAGGUUAGUCCCAAAAAUAUUAUAAAGUGUAAAGUAAAGCCCAUAAAUAUCCAAAAUGUGUAAUAUAAUAGCAUGGAACAAUCAAAAAUUAUAGAUACAUUGGAGACAUAUCAUCCAACCGCUCGAUAUUUCCUACAUAUUCUAGCACAAGUCAUGCCAAAAUUCAAGGAAAAUUCCGGCAUGACCUUUGCUAAAACAGGACAUAUCGAGCUCCUAAAAUUUGCCGGAAUGGAAAUUAACCAACACUCCGGCAAAACAUAGGCCACUCGAAGGUGUAACCUGCAAACAUGACCGGCCACUUGGGCAAGCACAUAUCCUAUUUGAGCAAAACAAGAUAUACAUGUUUUUAUCUACAUCAUAUCUUAUAGGACUCAUGUUGACAUGGAGAUUUGCUGGUCUCACCUCAAGGGCAGAGGGGGUUAGUGACGGGGACGAUGGCGGGGAUGAUGGAGGGGCUCCUUGAUUUCUGCAAAAAGAAAAACCCUAUAAGUUAUCACUAAUACAUCCCCAGUAGUAUCAUACAUAUAACAUCACUAAUACAACUAAAACCCUAGUGAACGACAGGUAUCGACGAUGAGGAUGCGGGAUAGGCAUCGUCGACGUUGAUGCGGGAAUAAUUGCUUAAACUAAAAAAUAACAACAAACGUGACAUGUUCAACUAGUUCUUACUAAAAAUAAACUUAAUAUAAAUAUAAAUAAACUAGUUAUUUCUAACAAUAAACUACUUCAACUAGUUAUGUUAAUUUUCUUACUAAAAAUACAUUAGUUCUAUUAAUUGAACUAGUUCUUACUAAAAAUAAACUAGUUCAACUAGUUUUAUUAAUUUACUUACUAAUUAUUUUAAACACUUACUAAAAAUAGUAAAAAAAUACAUUAUACAAUAGUAAAAAACAGAAGAAAAAAAGAGAUGGAGGGAGGAGGGGAAGGGAGGAGGAAGGAGAGAGGAGGGGGAGGAGGCCGGUGGGAUCGGAGGAGGGAGGGUCNNNNNNNNNNNNNNNNNNNNNNNNNNNNNNNNNNNNNNNNNNNNNNNNNNNNNNNNNNNNNNNNNNNNNNNNNNNNNNNNNNNNNNNNNNNNNNNNNNNNNNNNNNNNNNNNNNNNNNNNNNNNNNNNNNNNNNNNNNNNNNNNNNNNNNNNNNNNNNNNNNNNNNNNNNNNNNNNNNNNNNNNNNNNNNNNNNNNNNNNNNNNNNNNNNNNNNNNNNNNNNNNNNNNNNNNNNNNNNNNNNNNNNNNNNNNNNNNNNNNNNNNNNNNNNNNNNNNNNNNNNNNNNNNNNNNNNNNNNNNNNNNNNNNNNNNNNNNNNNNNNNNNNNNNNNNNNNNNNNNNNNNNNNNNNNNNNNNNNNNNNNNNNNNNNNNNNNNNNNNNNNNNNNNNNNNNNNNNNNNNNNNNNNNNNNNNNNNNNNNNNNNNNNNNNNNNNNNNNNNNNNNNNNNNNNNNNNNNNNNNNNNNNNNNNNNNNNNNNNNNNNNNNNNNNNNNNNNNNNNNNNNNNNNNNNNNNNNNNNNNNNNNNNNNNNNNNNNNNGGCCGGAGGAGGAGGAGGGAGGGGCGGUGGGAGGAGGGCGGCCGGAGGAGGAGGGGGAGGAGGGAGGGGAGGAGGGAGUACCUCAGUGGAGGAGCAGCGCGGCUACGGCGGACGACGGGUUCGGCGCGGGCGAGAGCGAGUGAGAGGGAGACUGAGUGAGAGGGUCAACCGCUCCAGGAUAAGGUAAGUAAGUAGUAGUGUGUUUUAGAGAUACGCGCUACUGCUAUGGGACGUAGCAGUAGCGCUGGUUACGGGUACGCGCUACUGCUAAGUGGGGCUAGCCAUCUGCGCCCAGUACAAACAUAGCAGUAGCGCGCUUUCCUAGAACGCGCUUCUGCUAAAGUAGUAGCAGUAGCGCGGUCCAUUUAAACACGCUACUACUAAGUAGCAGUAGCGCCCUAUUUUGUCCAGCGCUACUACUAAGAUGUUGUGUGUAAGGUUUUCCCUACUAGUGCCCUCUCAUCCUGCUCGGACGUCGGCUCGACGGGGAGGUCGGGGUCUUCGGCAUUAUCCGGAGUCUCAUUAUCUCUGGUGCCGGUAUUGCUAUCCUUUGCCCGACGAGAUCGUGAGCGGCGCUGCUGACGUUGGCGCUUUGGUGGUUCAUCGACAGGUUUGUCCUCAUUGGGAUUCUGAUUAUCCUCGUCGUCCUUUUUAUCAUGAGUGUCCACCAUGUAUACAUCAUAGGUUGAAGUGUCCAUCCAACGCCUUGUGAUGGGUGGGGCCGGACUUAUUUCGGCGUCGGCUUCGUCGUCCAUACCGUUGAUGUCUUCAGACGUGUAGUCUAGCAUGUCAGUUAAAUCCUCAACAGUGGCUAUUAAGUGGGUGGUGGGUGGGGCAUAAAAUUCCCCGCUCUUAGCCCCCAGCUUGAGCUGGGUAUAGUUCGGAGGUAAAGGGUCCGUAAUGGCGAGAGAUUGCAUUAAUCCCAGUGCUUCAUCUAAGAGCAAAAGCUGGACUGGAAACCGCAGAUCUACAGGGCUGAGUUCGGCAUGAGAUACCUGAUCGGGCCCGAUGAGUGCAGACCUCGGCAGUUCGGAGUUAUCAUCCAGAGGCAGGUCCAAGACUGCAUCUGGGUCUCCGGUCAAGAGCUCCAUGAAAGGAGUGAGUCCGGCAGGGCUGACGCUCCCGUCUUCGGAUGAUACGAUCCACUCCGGGUCUAAGGCCGAGGCAGGUGUGUUUGUUCACCCCUGGACAGGAUCUAACAGGGGAUCCGAAGAGCCUUCUUCAUGGGGGCACAGAGCAGCAGUCAAGGCCGCAAACCCCUCAAAGAUUAGAUCUCCUAGGAUGUCAACGACAUAGUUCAGGUUUCCAAACCUGAUCUGGUGGCCGUGGGCAUAACUGUCGACCUGCUCAAGGUGGCCGGUCGAGUUGGCAUGAAGCACGAAGCCGCCAAACACAAAGACUUGUCCGAGGAGAAAGGUUUCCUUGGACGCAGCGUCAUCAUCGAUGAAGAUGCAAGACAUCGAUCCUCUUGUUGGCGAUACAACGGAGCUCUCAAUGAAAGCACCAAUGUCGGUGUUAAAACCGGCAGAUCUCGGGUAGGGGGCCCCAAGCUGUACAUCUAAGGAUUGAUGGUAACAAUGGACAAAGGACACAAUGUUUACCCAGGUUUGGGCCCUCUUAAUGGAGGUAAAACCCUCCUCCUACUUGAUUAUAUUCGAAGGGUAUAGGGGUUACAAGAGUUGAUCUACCACGAGAUCGUAAUGGCUAGCUUGGUUAGCCUAGUAAUGUUAUGAUCCUGCCUUCGGUCUAAAACCCUCCGGUUUAUAUAGACACCCGGAGGGGCUUAGGGUUGUACAAAGUCGGUUUAACAGAAAGGAUUCAGUAUAUCUGGACACCUAAACUUGCCGUUCACACAUACGGGAGCCCUAUCCAGAUGCAAGAAGUGGUCUUCUUCCUUGUAUCUUGACGGCCCAUUAGUCCGGCCCAUAUCCAAUAGACCGGACGCCUGAGGACCCCUUAAUCCAGGACUCCCUCAAGGGGAGGACUGGCUGAGCACAAGACACCAGGGCAUGCCCCCUUCCCGUCUGGCGCGUCCUAGUGGGUUGUGCCCACGUCGUGUCCCCAUAGACCCUAAUUCCAACUCCAUAAAUACCUAUUUUUGGAGAAAAAAUGAGGGAGGAAGUUUCAUCGCGUUUCACGAUACAAAGCCGCCACCACCUCCUGUUCUUCAUCGGGAGGCCAGAUCUGGAGGCCGUUCGAGGCUCCGGAGAGGGGAAUCUUCGGUCUUCGUCAUCGCCAACCCUCCAGCACCAAUUCCAUGACGCUCCCCAUCGGGAGUGAGUAAUUCCUUCGUAGACUCACUGGUUGGUUAGAUGUUGGAUGAGAUUCAUCAUGUAAUUGAGUUAGUUUUGUAAGGGCUUGAUCCCUAGUAUCCACUAUGUUCUGAGAUAAAAGCAUCUUUGCACUUAUUCAAUGAAUCAAUACUAUUUUUGGGCAAAGAUGAAAACCAAACUUUAGCACAAUCUCUAAGUGAAAGCGGAAAUAACUUCAAUUUAACAACAUCAUUAUCCGUAUAUUUCUUCUUUUGCACCUCACACAAAUCAACAAAGUUGUUUAGAUGGGUAGCGACAUCUUCACUAGGAAGGUCGGAGAAUUGAUCUUUCAUAACAAGACAAGAUUCAGCAAAAUAGCAUUGAUUUCACAAGAUUCAACAUCAUUCAUAGGAGCAAUCGGAGUGCUAAGGAAAUCAUUAUUAUUGGUAUUGGAAAAGUCAGACAAUUUGGUAUUAUAUUGCACCAUCGCGACAAGCAAUCCAACACACAAGCAAACAAAAAGGCAAGCGAAAGAGAGAGGAGAUUGGGAAAGAGAGGGCGAAUAAAACGGCAAGGGUGAAGUGGGGGAGAGGAAAACGAGAGGCAAAUGGAAAAUAAUGUAAUGCGAGGGAGAUGAGUUUGUGAUGGGUACUUGGUAUGUCUUGACUUGAGCGAAGACCUCCCCGGCAACAGCGUCAGAAAUCCUUCUUGCUAUGUCUUGAGAUUGUGUUGGUUUUCUUUGAAGGGGAAAGGGUGAUGUAGCAAAGUAGCGUAAGUAUUUCCCUCAGUUUUUGAGAACCAAGGUAUCAAUCCAGUAGGAGGCUCCUCAAAAGUCCCACACACCUACACAAACAAACAAGAACCUCGCGACCAAGGCAAUAAAGGGGUUGUCAAUCCCUUCACGACCACUUGCGAAAGUGAGAUCUGAUAGAGAUAAUAUGCUAAGAUAAAUAUUUUUGGUAUUUUUAUGAUAGAUUGGAAAAGUAAAGAUGCAAAUAAAAGUAGAUGACUUAUAUGAUAAAAGAUAGACCCGUGGGCCAUAGGUUUCACUAGUGGCUUCUCUCAAGAUAGCGUAAGUAUUACGGUGGGUGAACAAAUUACUGUCGAGCAAUUGAUAGAAAAGCGAAUAGUUAUGAGAUUAUCUAGGCAUGAUGAUGUAUAUAGGCAUCACGUCCAUGACAAGUAGACCGACUCCUGCAUGCAUCUACAACUAGUACUCCACACAUCGACCGACUCCUGCCUGCAUCUAGAGUAUUAAGUCCAUAAAGAACAGAGUAACGCAUUAAGAAAGAUGACAUGAUGUAGAGGGAUAAACUCAUGCAAUAUGAUAUAAACCCCAUCUAUUUAUCCUCGAUGGAAACAAUACAAUACGUGCCUUGCUGCCCCUGCUGUCAUGGGGAAAGGACACCGCAAUAUUGAACCCAAAGCUAAGCACUUCUCUCAUUGCAAGAAAGAUCAAUCUAGUAGGCCAAACAAAACUGAUAAUUCGAAGAGACUUGCAAAGAUAACUUAAUCACACAUAACAGAAUUCAAAGGAGAUUCAAAUAUUUCUCAUAGAUAAACUUGAUCAUAAACCCAGAAUUCAUUGGAUCUCGACAAACAUACCACAAAAAGAGUUAAAUCGAAUAGAUCUCUAACAAGAUCAAGGAGAACUUUUUAUUAAGAUUCAAAGAGAGAGAAGAAGCCAUCUAGCUAAUAACUAUGGACCCGAAGGUUUGUGGUAAACUACUCACAACUCAUCGGAGAGGCUAUGGUGUUGAUGUAAAAGCCCUCCAUGGUCGAUUCCCCCUCCGGUGGAGCGCUGGCAAAGGCUCCAAGAUGGGAUCUCGCGGAUACAGAAGGUUGUGGCGGUGGAAAUAGUUUUUUUGUGGUGCUCCUGGAUGUUUUCGGGGUACAUGGGUAUAUAUAGGAGGAAGAAGUAGGUCGAUGGACGCUCGAGGGGCCCACGAGGGUGGGGGUGCGCCUAGCCCUAGGGGCGCGCCGGGCACCCUCGUGGCCGCCUCCUCUAUUGCUUGAUGUCCACUCCAAGUCCCCUGGAUCAUGUUUGUUCCAAAAAGAACGCUCCCAAAGGUUUCAUUCCGUUUGGACUCCGUUUGAUAUUCCUUUCCUUCGAAACACUAAAAUCGGCAAAAAGACAACAAUUCGGGCUGGGCCUCUGGUUAGUAGGUUAGUCCCAAAAAAAAAUUCUCGAAUAUGCACGAGUGUGUAUAUCAUAUAUUAAAGAAGAAGGGCCAAAGAAAAGUCUCCACCAUUAGGUACAUGAGUUACAAAUAUUUCACUCCUCACGCCUAGCCCACCUCACUAACCUACGAAGGAAGGGUGUAACAUCCCCUUUUAGUAGGCCAGCCGACAUCCACACUCGACCCUCUAGUCCCAAAAAUAAUAUAAAAGUGUAAAGUAAAGCCCAUAAAUAUCCAAAAUGGGUAAUAUAAUAGCAUGGAACAAUCAAAAAUUAUAGAUACGUUGGAGAUGUAUCAUCCAACCACUCGAUAUUUCCUACAUAUUCUAGCACAAGUCAUGCCAAAAUUCACGGAAAAUUCUGGCAUGACCUUUGCUAAAACAGGACAUAUCGAGCGCCUGAAAUUUGCCAGAACAGAAAUUAAUCAACACUCCGGCAAAACAUAGGCCACUCAGAGGUGUAACCUGCAAACAUGACCGGCCACUUGGGCAAGCACAUAUCCUAUUUGAGCAACACAAGAUACACAUGUUUUUAUCUACAUCAUAUCUUAUAGGACUCAUGUUGACAUGGAGAUUUGGCUGGUCUCACCUCGAGGGCGGAGGGGGUCGGUGACGGGGACGGUGGCGGGGAUGAUGGAGGGGCUCCUUGAUCUCUGCAGAAACAAAAACCUUAUAAGUUAUCACUAAUACAUCCCGAGUAGUAUCAUACAUAUAACAUCACUAAUACAACUAAAACCCUAGUGAACGACAGGUAUCGAUGAUGAGGAUGUGGGAUAGGCAUCAUCGACGUUGAUGCGGGAAUAAUUGCUUAAACUAAAAAAAUAACAACAAAUGUGACAUGUUCAACUAGUUCUAUUAAUUCAACUAGUUCUUACUAAAAAUAAACUUACUAUAAAUAAAAAUAAACUAGUUCUUUCUAACAAUAAACUACUUCAACUAGUUAUAUUAAUUAUCUUACUAAAAAUACAUUAGUUCUAUUAAUUGAACUAGUUCUUNNNNNNNNNNNNNNNNNNNNNNNNNNNNNNNNNNNNNNNNNNNNNNNNNNNNNNNNNNNNNNNNNNNNNNNNNNNNNNNNNNNNNNNNNNNNNNNNNNNNNNNNNNNNNNNNNNNNNNNNNNNNNNNNNNNNNNNNNNNNNNNNNNNNNNNNNNNNNNNNNNNNNNNNNNNNNNNNNNNNNNNNNNNNNNNNNNNNNNNNNNNNNNNNNNNNNNNNNNNNNNNNNNNNNNNNNNNNNNNNNNNNNNNNNNNNNNNNNNNNNNNNNNNNNNNNNNNNNNNNNNNNNNNNNNNNNNNNNNNNNNNNNNNNNNNNNNNNNNNNNNNNNNNNNNNNNNNNNNNAGGGGUGGUCGGAGGAGGAGGAGGAGGGAAGGGCGGCCAGAGGAGGAGGAUGGAGGGGUGGUGGGAGGAGGGCGGCCUGAGGAGGAGGUGGAGGAGGGAGGGGAGGAGGGAGUACCUCAGUGGAGGAGGAGCGAGGCGGCGGCGGACAACAGGUUCAGCGCGGGCGAGAGCGAGUGAGGGAGAGUGAGUGAGAGGGUCAACCGCUCAAGGAUAAGGUAAGUAAGUAGUAGUGCGUUUCAGAGAUACGCUUUAUUGCUACGGGAUGUAGCAGUAGCGCUGGUUACAGGUACGCGCUACUACUAAGUGGGGCUAGCCAUCUACGCCCAGUACAAACAUAGCAGUAGCACGCUUUCCCAGAAUGCGCUUCUGCUAACGUAGUAGCAAUAGCGCGGUCUAUUUAAAAACGCUACUACUAAGUAGUAGUAGCGCCCUGUUUUGUCCAGCGCUACUGCUAAGAUGCUAUGUAUAAGGUUUUCCCUAGUAGUACCCUCUCAUCCUGCUCGGACGUCGGCUCGUCGGGGAGGUCGGGGUCUUCGGCAUUAUCCGGAAUCUCAUUGUCUCCGGUACCGGUAUUGCUAUCAUUUGCCCGACGAGAUCAUGAGCGGCGUUGCUGGCAUUGGCGCUUUGGUGGUUCAUCGACAGGUUUGUCCUCAUUGGGAUUCUGAUUAUCCUCGUCGUCCUUUUUAUCAGGAGUGUCCACCAUGUAUACAUCAUAGGUUGAAGUGGCCAUCCAACGCCUUGUGAUGGGUGGGGCCGUACUUAUUUCGGCGUCGACAUCGUCAUCCGUACCGUUGAUGUCUUCAGAAGCAUAGUAUACCAUGUCAGUUAAAUCCUCAACAGUGGCUAUUAAGUGGGUGGUGGGUGGGACAUAAAAUUCCCCACUCUUAGCCCCCAGCUUGAGUUGGGUAUAGUUCGGUGGUAAAGGCUCCGUAAUGGCGAGAGAUUGCAUUAAUCCGAGUGCUUCAUCUAAGUGCAAAAGCUGGACUGGAAACCGCAGAUCUACAGGGCUGAUUUCGGCAUGAGAUACCUGAUCGGGCCCGAUGAGUGCAGACCUCGGCAGUUUGGAGUUAUCAUCCAGAGGCAGGUCCAAGACUGCAUCUGAGUCUCCGGUUGGGAGCUCCAUGAAAGGAGUGAGUCUGGCAGGGCUGACGCUCCUAUCUUCGAAUGAUACGAUCUGCUCCGGGUCUAAGGUCGAGGCAGGUGUGUUUGUUGACCCCUGGACGGGAUCUAACAGGGGAUCCUAAGAGCCUUCUGCAUGGGGGCACAGAGCAGCAGUCAAGGCCACAAACCCCUCGAAGAUUAGAUCUCCUCGGAUGUCAACGACAUAGUUCAGGUUUCCAAACCUGAUCUGGUGGCCGGGGGCAUAACUGUCGACCUGCUCAAGGUGUCGGUCGAGUUGGCACAAAGCACGAAGCCGCCAAACACAAAGACUUGUCCGAGGAGAAAGGUUUCCUUGGACGCAGCAUCAUCGUCGAUGAAGAUGCAAGACAUCAAUCCUGUCGUCGACGAUACAGCAUAGCUCUCAAUGAAAGCACCAAUGCUGGUGUCAAAACCGGCAGAUCUCGGGUAGGGGGCCCCAAGCUGUACGUCUAAUGAUUGAUGGUAACAAUGGACAAAGGACACAAUGUUUACCUAUGUUCGGGCCCUCUUAAUGGAGGUAAAACACUACUCCUACUUGAUUAUAUUCGAAGGGUAUAGGGGUUACAAGAGUUGAUCUACCACGAGAUCGUAAAGGCUAGCUUGGUUAGCCUAGUAAUGUUAUGAUCCUGCCUUCGGUCUAAAACCCUCCGGUUUAUAUAGACACCCGGAGGGGCUUAGAGUUGUACAAAGGCGGUUUAACAGAAAGGAUUCAGUAUAUCUGGAACCUAAACUUGCUGUUCACACAUAUGGGAGCCCUAUCCGGCUGCAAGAAGUGGUCUUAUUCCUUGUAUCUUGACGGCCCAUUAGUCCGUCGCAUAUAAAAUAGACCGGACGCCUGAGGACCCCUUAAUCCAGGACUCCCUCAAGGGGUGGGGGUGUAGGACCUUGAAGUAUGUCUAGAGGGGGGGUGAUUAGACUACUUGACCAAUAAAAACUUAACAUUUUCCCAAUUUUAGAGUUUGGCAGAUUUUAGCUACUUUAGGACAAGUCAAGCAAUCAUCACACAAUUCAAGCAAGCAUGCAAAGAGUAUAUAGCCACCGGAAAUUAAAGCAUGCAACUUACAAGAAAGUAAAGGGAAGGUUUUGGAGGAUUCAAACGCAAUUGGAGACACGGAUGUUUUUGGCGUGGUUCCGAUAGGUGGUGCUAUCGUACAUCCACGUUGAUGGAGACUUCAACCCACGAAGGGUAAUGGCUGCGCGAGUCCAUGGAAGGCUCCACCCACGAAGGGUCCACGAAGAAGCAACCUUGUCUAUCCCACCAUGGUCGUCACCCACGAAGGACUUGCCUCAGUAGCGGUAGAUCUUCACGAAGUAGGAGAUCUCCUUGCCCUUACAAACUCCUUGGUUCAACUCCACAAUCUUGUCGGAGGCUCCCAAGUGACACCUAGCCAAUCUAGGAGACACCACUCUCCAAGAAGUUACAAAAUGGUGCGUUGAUGAUGAACUCCUUGCUCUUGUGCUUCAAAUGAUAGUCUCCCCAACACUCAACUCUCUCUCAUAGGUUUUGGAUCUGGCGGAAAGAAGAUUUGAGUGGAAAGCAACUUGGGGAAGGCUAGAGAUCAAGAUUCAUAUGGUAGGAAUGGAAAAUCUUGGCCUCAACACAUGAGUAGGUGGUUCUCUCUUAGAAAUGGUAAGUUGGAAGUGUAGGUUCGUUCUGAUGGCUCUCUCCACGAAUGAAGAGGAGGUGGAGGGGUAUAUAUAGCCUCCACACAAAAUCUAACCGUUACACACAAUUUACCAAACUCGGUGGGACUGAAUCGUUAAACUCGGUCGGAACGAUUUAGUAAACCUAGUGACCGUUUGUGAUUUUCGGUGGGACUGACAUGCAUCUCGGUGAGACCGAUUCGGUUAGGGUUAGGGCAUAACGUAAUCUCGGUAAGACCGAUUACACAAACUCGGUGAGACCGAUUUGGUAAUAAGCUUUCCAGAGAGUUGGUCAGGUAAACUCGGUGGGACCGAUUUGCUCUUUUCGGUGAGACCGAAAUGUUACAAAUAGGAAAUAGAGAGUUUACAUGCAAUCUCGAUGGGACCGAUCACUCACUUCGGUUAGACCGAAACAUUACGAAGGGAAACAGAGAGAUUGCAACCCCAUCUCCGUGAGACCGAGAUCCCUAUCGGUAAGACCGAUUUGCUUAGGGUUUGUGGCAGUGGCUAUGACUUUUGGAAUCAGUGGCGCCGGAUAUAAAGAAUCAGUGUGACCGAUUUUGGCUUUGGGUUUAGGUCAUUUGUGGAUGUGGGAAAGUAAUUGAGGGUUUUGGAGCAUAUCACUAAGCACAUGAAGCAAGAGGCUCAUUAAGCAACACCUCAUCCCUCCUUGAUAGUAUUGGCUUUUCCUAUAGACUCAAUGUGAUCUUGGAUCACUAAAAAGUAAAAUGAAGAGUCUUGAGCUUUUGAGCUUGAGCCAAUCCUUUGUCCUUAGUAUUUUGAGGGGUCCACUUUCAUCAUCCAUGCCAUGCCAUUCAUUGAGCUUUCUUGAAAUAAUAGUCUUGGAAUAGCAUUAGCUCAAUGAGCUAUAUGUUGUUAUGAAUUACCAAAACCACCUAGGGAUAGUUGCACUUUCAAUCUCCCCCUUUUUGGUAAUUGAUGACAACAUAUAGAUCAAAGCUUCGACAAAUGAUAAUAAGAUUUAAUAACAUCGUCGCUUUGAGAAGUAUGUGAUAAGCAAGAGCUCCACCUAAAUUUGUGCAUGGGUUAAGAUUUGCUUUGGACUGCAAAUGCACAAUGAAUUAGGCUCAUGAGUUACUCUUCCAUGUCACAUACAUCUUGGUGGAGCACUCAAAAUAAUAAACAAUGAAUACAUGCACUCAUCACCAAGCAUAGUGAGUGAUCACAUAAGAUAGAUAGGAUAAUAUCAAACAUGCAUAAGUGUAGCUUGUGAUCAAACACAUGAUCAUCAAUGUCUCACAAGCAUAGUAUCUCAACCAAAAGCAAACAAAGUUUAAAGACCACCAAAUAAAGCAAGAGAGAACAAAAGCAACACUCUCUCUCUCGAAGCCUAUGAUCUAUACAUUUUUAUCCCCCUUUGGCAACAAGUUACCAAAAAGUUCAUAGAAAAUGCAUAGUGCUAGAUCGACUCUCAGGCUUGAUCUUCUGGUGGUGGUGUCCUGAUGACUCCAAGGACGAAGGCUUCAGUUGAAGUAGAGGGUGCUGGAGUGGAUGCUGGAGCUGGUUGCACUGGAACUGUAGGGGCAGUAGCUGGUGCUGAAGUUGUUGCUCUAGUGUCUGUCACUGGCACUGCAACUGACCUCUGGGCUCUGGGCACUCUGGCAAACACAUUGGUGGUAGUCUUGCCCUGCUUCUCCUGCAUAUCAUCCUGCAGCUGCUCUACAACUGACUGAAUCUUAGUUACUUUAACAUCAAGGUCAUGGAAUUUUAGUUCCAUGAUUCUCUCAAGGCUCUCCUAAUUUUGAGUGAGGGUGGCCAGUCCUUUCUCAAUUCUCAGUGUAGAUGCUAUCAAGUAACCAAGCUGCUCCUGUUUGGUUUUCAAGAAAUAUUCAGAUGCCUCCUCUUGAGUUGGCAUCUUGGCAGCCUUCUCCUUCUUCUCCUGAGCUUGAACUGAUUGUGGAUCAUCUUCAUUCAUGACAACCUCAUUGUCCUCAAAGUCUGGAUAAAGUGGAAAAUGUUCCUUAUCCAACUGAUAUUUCCCUGUGCCCAUCUUUGAGUUGAUCAGUUCCUGAAUCUGAGGUGCAUAUCCACAGCUCCUCUUCUGAUCUGCUGCAGUCCUCUUAAUGAUUUCAAUAAUUAGGCUCAUGACUUUGAACUUCUGUGGCACAUCAAACACAUGCAGCAUGUUGAUGGCAUGCCCUCUGAUCAUGUUAUGGUCACCAGACUUGGGCAACAAAGUGUGCCUCAGAGUCCAAUUGAUGGUUGGCAACCCUGACAGCAGAAAGUGAACUGAUCCAAACUUGUGAGUCUCUACUGCCUUGUCUGGGAUCUCCUUGUACAUGUGAGCCAUGGAGUUGUGUCCCAACUUCUUCUUUGCAUAAAUGUCCAGGUCAUCCUCAUUUUCCUUGGGGGCAUUUAUUAGACUUGCCCAUUCUUCAACAGUGGAUUGGUACCUUGUACCUUCAGACAUCCAAACAAUUCUACCAUCUGGGUAAAAAUGUGCUGUGGAGUAGAACGCAUGAUAAGCUCAUCAUUCCAGUUGGUGAACUUCUGUCCAACAAAAUCAGCAACUCCACAAGCAACAAAGCUUUCUUGCGCUCCAGGAUAGUGCUGCUCAUUGUCCUUGAUGUAGGUCCAGUCGACCCACCUCAUGUCACAGACUAUAGGCUUCUUGUCCAACAGAAUUGUUUCAUAAAAGUCUUGUUGUUCCUUUGUAUGGAACCUGUAGUCAACAGCAGUUCUUCUUCUUGAAGCAUAUGGAUCUUCCAUUCUCCAUAGUCUCAGCCCUGAAUCCUUCCUGAUUCUCAUGUCCUCAGCCACAGGAUGGGCAUCAUUGUGGUCUGGUAUCUUGGGCUUGAGCUUUCUUAGGACCUGUCCUUCUUCAUCUUCCUCUUCAGCAACAUUGGGCACUGGGGCCUUGUUCUUCUCAGUAGCUGGAAUACUCCUAGUAUUCCUCUUUGGAACUUUCUUGGCCUUGGAGGCAGCUUUGGGUGCUUCCUUGGGCUUGGAUGUUGCAGCCCCUGAUCUGAUUGCAUCACCCAUAAGCUUAGGUGCCUUAGGUGCUGGUGCAGCAUCCUCUUCCUCUUCAUCAGAAUCUCUUCUCAUAGAGGGCUUUCCAAGGACCUUGGCAGUUGUGGUUCUUGCUCUCUUCUCUUUCUUGUCUUGAGCCCCAUCAUCCUCUGACUCAAUUUGGAAUUUCAUAGUCGCUCCAGUAGGAACUUUCUGAGGUUUGGAUGAUGUAUCUUUCCUUGCAGGUGCCUCUUUGGGUUGAGCCUGAGCUGGCACUUGAGUGGACUUUCUGGCCUUUGGCAUUGGUGUCCUCUUGGCAGGAACUUUCUUCUUCAGACCUGGUUUUGUGCUCUGUGCAGAGCCAUAUUCCUUCUUGAGCACCACUUUCUUGGAAGUGGCCUCAUCUUCCUCAGCUUUGUAAUCUUCAUCCUCUGAAUCUGAAGUUCUUUUCCUCCUUUGCCUAGUUGCAGCCUUAGGCAAAUUGCUAGGAGUACUUCUGCUCCCUUCAUCUGUAGUUGAGGGACUAGUGCCCUCACUCAAAUCCAUCUGCUCCAUUGACCUGUUCUGGCUGUCACUCCGAUCUGACAUACUGCAAAAGCUGACUGCUGACCCUGUGAAGAGUUAUAGAUGAGAUAGAAUAGAUGAGCAUCACAAAAUGCAGAGAUUUUUGCAAAAGAAUGAUUCAAAAGUUCAGCUUUAGUUUUCCACAGAAAGCAUUUCGGAUCAAUCGAUUUUCAAACUCGGUGAUACCGAAGCAGUUUUGGAACCUAAACUGAUGAUCUCGGUUGGACCGAGUCACAGUUCGGUGGCACCGAGACUGCUAGGGUUUCACAGAAUCCUCAAAUCGGUCGCACCGAUUAGUAAUUCUCGGUCAGACCGAGAGUCACUAGUGCAAUGGCAUAAGCCAAAUCGGUGAGACUGAGUUUUUCAACUCGGUGGGUCCGAGAUGGUUUCGGCGGAAACCUAACCCUAAAAAUUUGAAUCACAUCUAAUCUAUGGACUACUUUGGCUGGAUAGAGGAGUUUCAAUCGUGGCAAGAUUCAAUAAAAAUACAAUGUGCUUGGAAUCAGACGUGGAUAGCACAAAGAUCAAGUCCAUACCCUAACUUGGCGGUGGACUUGCUACGGCGGCAACGGUGGGGACGAAAUCCAUUGACGACGGCGGAGACCAGCAACAGGAGGCUGCUGGCGACGAGGAGACGAUCCAGAGACCUCCGAUGGCACAGCGAGCUAUUGCACGGGCGAAGGGUUUCGGAGAAAUUUCCAAAAUUUUGCCUAUGGCCAUAUAUAGCCCGACCCUGUCGGUGUGACCGGGUGGUACAACUCGGUAGCACCGAGAUGCAUAACUGUGUUCAGUUACAGCAAAUCGGUGAGACCGAAAAGUUCAAAUCGGUUGCACCGAGAUUGAAAACUCAGAUCAACUUGAUGAUCUCGGUAGGACCAAAAUGGAGGAAUCGGUCUGACCGAGAAUCACAAAGAGGUUUUGGAAGUUUAAGUCUAUGACAAAUCGGGGACUCCGAGUGCUCCUCACACAGAGUGGUUCGAAUCUGACUUGAUCAAAUUUUGUGAUGUAGCAUGAAUAGAGUUUGAGAUGAGAAAAGCAUAGAUAGCUAAAGAAGGUUCUUAGGCAUUCUUGUCCAUCCACUUGGCUAAAAGAAAAGAACCCAAACAAUCAAAACAACAAGUGGAUGUCCUUGAAUGAGUAAAAUAUGCACCAACAUGCUCACACAAUAAGAUGGCAAAUGAAAUAUGUGGCAAAGCAUGCACAACCAAUUCUAGCAUCUAUCAAACAAUUGGCGAUGACUAGGUCAUCUAUAUAUGAGUAUAUUGACUUAGGAGUCAAAUGAGAACAUUUGAUCAUAGGUCAUACUCAUCGUUUAAGCUCAAGUGGGGUUACCACUUUUACAUAAUGCAUUGAUGUGUUCACACCAUUAGAGUUGCUUUGACUCAAUUCUUAGAGUUAAGCUCCCCCUAGAUGUGAGAUCCCCCCUUAGAGGGAUGAACUAACCUUGGGUUUUGUCGAUGAUGACUUCAUGUAGGUGUUGAAGAUGUGGAUACUCAAUGUUGGUGUAGAUCAUUUGGAGCAAUCCUUUGGAGUGAGUUGCACUGUCAACUUACCUACAUGGGUUAGUCCCACAAGGAACAAACAAGAAUAUCCAUAGACAUAGAGUGAUGCACACACAAGAUGAUGUCCAUGAAAUCAUUAGGUUACCUUGUCCCUUGCCUUACCAACAUGAGGGUUUGUGACUCCUUGAACUAGUGCAAGAUGUGGAAGUUGAUUGCACUUGUUCUUGCCAAAAUGAUAUGAGUGAAGAAUGUUGGCGGAGUCACCCUCAAGAACUCUCUAGUUCUUCUUCUUCGGGAUGCACAUCAUCUUGAUGGGAAUCCUUGGAGUUGUAGUUGUACUUGAUGAAGUAGAACUUGACGUAGUCUUGGGAACCCACUUGAACGAGGCUUUAGGUGCUUCUUCAAAUGCAUCAAUCUCUUCUUGAAGCUUGUCCUUGCCUUUGUUCUUGUGGUCUUGUGGUGGAAGAUCAUCUUGAGCUUGUGUUCCCUUGAAGGAAGUAGGAUCAUACUUCUCUUGUUGAGGAACAAACUUCGUCUUGGGGUAUUGAUCUUCUUCCCACUCAACUCCAUUGGCAUUGAACUUUCGUUCAAAACCAACACCUUGAUUCUUCCGGUGCCUUCCUUGCUUGUGUACAAUUUUCUCGAAUUGCUUACUUCCGGCAAGGCUCUUGUAAACACCUUUCUCUAUAAUUCCCUUCAAUAAGUUGUUUUAUUGCUCAAGUGUAACUUGGCUAAGAGAAUCAUUAGUGGAAUCAAGAGAACUACUAGAGGCAACAAUAUUGGAUUUGACAUUAUUAUUGUUACUACUAGAGGAAGUAUCUUUCUUGUACUUGUUACUAGACUUGACUUGAGGCAUGUAAGUAGAUAAGAGUAAACGCUUUGCAAUGUAAGAAGAACUUUUCUUGCGGAGAUCAUCAUUGAUUGCUUUUAAGAACUCAUGCCCUUGCUCAAGAUUGAGCUUUUCAAAGCGUAACUUCUCAUGAGCCCUUAAAAGUUCUCGAUGAUCUUCGAAGAUAGUUUCAUGAGCCAACUUAAGAGUGUUUAGUUCUUUAGUUAGAAGCUCAAUCUUCUCCUUAUCAUUGUCAUUCGUUUUAUCUUGAUUAGCAUGAUUAAUUGACGUUUCAUCACAGUAUUCAUCACUAGAGUUGUCAACAGGUAAAUCAUCAUCCACAAGCAAGUCAUCUUCAUCACUAUUGAAAUCAACAUACUCGGGAUGUGUUACCUUUGGACCUUUGGCCAUGAAGCAUCUUCCAACACCUUCAUUUGGCGAGUCAAAUAUGUCAUAGGAGUUGGUUGACACAAGUGCUAGACCGGCAACACCUUCAUCUUGAGUAUAUUCGGAGUCGGAGUGAUAGCUUCUCUCGGAGUGAUUGUCGGAGUCGGAGCCGGAUACCCAUUCACCAACAUGAGCUUGAUGUCUUCGUUUUGUAUAGCUCCUUGAUGACUUGUCCUUCCUUUCCGAAUCCUUGCUUCUCCGUGAGGGUCUUCGUUCAUAACGAUCAUCUCUACUCCUCGUCUCUCUUGGUGGUGAUUCUUCUCUUUUGCUCCUUCUUCUUGGAGAAUCUUCUCUUCUUUUGUAGGGUGCCGUACACUCAUUGGAGUAGUGUCCGGGUCUCCCACAAUUGUAGCAAUUGCGCUCUCGACUAGAAGAUCUUUUGUCAUUGUAAGACCUUGACUUGGAGCUUCUUUCUUUGCUUCUACUCUUGUAGAAUUUGUUGAAGUUCUUCACCAUUAAGCUCAAUUCUUCAUUGAAGGUUGGUUUCUCACUUGAAGAUGUGGGGGCUUCACUUGAGGCUUUGUAAGCACCACUUGACUUGUUGUGAAGUUCCUCCUUAUCCUUGAGUGACAUCUCAUGAGCAACAAUUCUUCCAAUGACUUCCGUUGGCUUGAGAUCUUUGUAGUUUGGCAUCAUUUGAAUCCAUGUGCACACGGUAUCAUACUUUCCAUCCAAUGCUCUUAGAAUCUUCUUGAUGAUGAAUUUGUCGGUCAUCUCUUCACUCCCUAAGCCGGCAAUCUCAUUUGUGAUAAGAGCAAGCCUAGAGUACAUUUCAGCGACACCUUCACCAUCCUUCAUUUUGAACUUGUCAAGCUGACUUUGGAGCACAUCCAACUUGGAUUCCUUGACGGACUCAGUACCUUCAUGCAUAUCAAUCAAAGUAUCCCAAAUUUCCUUUGCAUUCUCAAGACGGCUGAUUUUGUUGAAUUCUUCGGGGCACAAUCCGUUGAAGAUGAUAUCGCAUGCUUGAGCGUUGUAUUGUAGCAUCUUCAAUUCUUCCGCAUUAGCUUCACGGUUCGGUUCUCUCCCAUCAAAGAAUUCACCUUGCAAGCCAAUACAAAUAAUUGCCCAAACGGCGGGGUUAUGUCCAAGAAUAUGCAUUUUCAUCUUAUGCUUCCAACUAACAAAAUUAGUACCAUCAAAGUAAGGACCUCUACGGUGAUAAUUUCCCUCGCUAGACGCUGUCGUGGGAAAAGAGCACCUAUGGGGCAAGGGCCCCUUUCGGUCCGGCAGGGAGCGGAGGGCGCACGAAGAGCGGAUCGAGGCGAGCACGCGAGCGAUUUUUACCCAGCUUCGGAGCUCUCCGGAGAGAUAAUACUCCUACUGCUGCUUUGUGAUUGUAUUAUGUUCUUGCUCUAGAGCGUGGGAGUGUUCUGGUUUCGAAUGAGUCGAACCCCCUCUACGUUGCACAUGGGCCUCCUUUUAUAGGCUCAAGGGGUCACCGACAGGUGGCAACGCAGACAAGGGUACAAAUGUAAAAAGAGUGGUUGGUACAACUGCCUCUAUAGUGCACCCUACCUAACUCUGACGGCAGGGGACAAGAGCAUUUAAUGCCCGUCCGCGUCGCCCAAACAGUGCAGAAAAGCGACCGUUAGGGGCGCCACCGCUUGCCACGAUGGCCUUCUCGUCAUCUCCACUUGCCACCUCGCACCGCUUGGCUGCACAGCUUCCCACCACGUGCGCCUGGAACGGUCCUGCAGCGACACGUCGACGGAUGUGCUGGAGCGUGGGCACAGAGUGGUGGCUUCGCCGCGGCAAGCGCCUGACCGCGGUCGUUGUCUUGUCGCGCCCGGGAGCUUGUCGCUCGUCGGGUCUUGCCGGGACGCGCGGCGCGUCGCGGCAAGUUUCUCGAAAUGCCUUGGUUGGCCUUCCCGGCAAGCUCCUCUUGCCGGGGUCUUGUCCUUCCCGGCAAGCUCCUCUUGUCGGGGCCUUGUCUUCUUAGUUAAAACACUUUGUUCUUGUAUGGCUUUGAUAGGAACUACGGAGGAUCUUGGUGGGCACCCGGCAAGCCUUGCCGCGGGGCGCUGCGACUGUCCGUGCACAAGUUCGGGAUACUAAGGUACCCCUACUUUAGUACACCGACAGGAGCCCCCGGGCCUGGGCCAUACACGGUGCCGAGCGCUGUUGGGCCAGGCCCAAAACAGGGCACGGGCACACGCGGCCUGGGUCCACACCAUAUCUAACUCCGUAUCCACCGCGCCCUCCCGUAACGGCACGCGUCGAACGCGGCGUCGUGGGAGAGAUCGUGGGUGAUUCUUUAUUCGGAAAAAGCGUAACGUUCGCCUCCUCCUCUUUAUAAGCAGGGGAAACAGGGGUCGUUCCCCCACCUUCGCCACUUGCGGUUCCUUCCUCAGAAAUCUCCGCCGCUCCCCUCCGCUUCCCAAAGCCGAAAGAGAGCAGCGCUCUACCCCCCGUCGCCGCCGUCACCGCCAACACCCUCGCUCUCCCCUACCGCCUCCGCCAUGGCUCCGAAGACCGGGAAGGGUGCGAAGUCGGCCGAGGCGCUGCGGCUUGAGGCGCUUCGGAAGGAGAGGGCACUUCCCCCACCCCCUCGAGCUCUCCGCGAAGGAGCUACGGGAGUGGUUCUAUCUCUUCUGGUCGAUGGAGACGCGGGCGCAUCCGCGCAUGCAGGUACUUUCCGCCGAUGCUUCCACUUUGAAAUGGUGUCCAAAAGGAUACCCCUUCUUCGCACUAUUUUUCUAUUGCGGGCUCUUCCCGCCCUUUUCCGAUUUCUUCUGUGAUAUCAUGAAUACCUAUGGGUUCCACCUCCUCGAUUUCACCCCCAAUGUCGUUCUGACCAUGGCGGUUUUCGCACACCUCUGCGAGAACUUUGUCGGGAUCCACCCAAACGUAGCCCUUUUCCGCCACUACUUCAUGCCCCGGGUCGAGAAGGGAGAGCCCUUAGCUGGCAGGAUUGCCUGGAUCUCGAGAGUCGGCAUGAAGGAGGUCUAUCUGGAGGGGGGGCUCCACAGCAAAUGGGAGGAGUGGAGAGCGGAGUGGUGUUGUAUUGUUGAUGAGAACCCGCAGCCAUUCACCAACUUGCACCAAGCCCGAGUAGUGCGCGGCAGCGAUUGGAGCGCCCUGGCGGCGGACGAUGCUAGAUUGAAGAUCGCCACCACCCGGAUCUUGCGGCUCAGGCUUGCCGGGCUCACUGUAGGUGCUGUUGGCGCGGACUUUCUUCGCCGCCGCAUCGCCCCCCUGCAGGAGAGGGGGAGACCCGCCUGGCACUUCGGGGGUCCAGCGGAUAUCAUGAGGCUGCGUCCGGGCCUCAACUUCAAUUUCACUGUUUUGGAGUUGGAUGGGACGCUCAAGGAACUGUUCAAACACGACCCCAACCAUCCCGAGUGGUUCAGGCUGCCGCAGGGCGUCGUCCCAUUGUGCAACAACUCCCAGCUCGAUCACAUCCGUGCAAUGAUGCCAGAGUGCGACUCACAUGGGAUUAUCCCAACUUGGCAGGAGCCCGACGACGACGUCGUGCAGCAAUUCUUCGACGACUUGGUGGAGGUGGCGGUCCGUGCCGACGAGCAUAGGAGCCUCACCCGCGACACCACCGACGACGAGAUGCGGCGCAUUGCCACCAGGGCGGAAGAGACGGCGGCGGCUGCCGCCGCGGGCGAGUUCGGGUUUACUGUGGAGGAGGCAGAGGCAGCCGAGGCGGCAAGCCUUGCUGAGCGGGAGGAGCUUGUCGGGGAGGUCGUCGGCGAGGGAGGGCCCGAAGCCGAAUCGAGCGAGCCCACCGAGGGUGCAAGCGGCCAGCCUUCUUCAAGCAGCUUGCCGCAGGCGGAGCCCCCAGUGCAGCCCCCAGCUCCACCAAGAAGGCGCCUCCGCAGGACUGGAGACAUAGCAGGGCGGCAGACGGGCCAACAGCCGCCGCACCGCGGGACACGCUCCACCGCGACAAGCACCGUUGUCGCGGGAGCAUCUCACGCCGUGCCGGCAACCGGAGCGGGGUCCUCUCGGGCCGCCGCUUCUGAUCCUGCCGCAGCUCUCGCCAAGCGGCCAAGGGAGCUUACUCCUCCGCCUCGUCGCGCCGAAAGGGUACCGGACUUCGAUCUCUCCGCGCUCAGCUCCGACGAGGAGGAAGAAGAGGAGUAAGUUUCUCUGUUGCACUUAUUUUUCUUCAAUUCUUGCUGUUUCUUGUCUUGUAUCUGAUCUGCUUUCUUCUGAACCUUGUUCCUUUCCAGGACUCUGGCCCAGAGAGCGGCGAAGAGGGCCAAGGUCCCCGUGGUUGUCAUCGAGGACAAUCCUGCUGUGAUGACAGAGGGCACGUCCAAGACUACCUUGUCGGACCCGGCAAUUACUCCGCGAAGCAGCCCCCAGCGCAGCCCCCAGCGUAAGUACAUAGUCUUACUUCCCGCUGUUGGGUGCGCAUAGGUGUCCUUUCCUUGCUGAUAUCUUGAUUGUUGGUUUGCUUGCGCAGGAGCAGAACAGGUCCACCAGGAACAACCAGAAGCCGCUCCUGAGGUGCUAUCUGCUUCAACUACGCCGCCAAGGGAUGACUCCCCGGCAAGGGAGCGCUCUCCGGCAAGGGAGAGGUCCCCGGCAAGGGACAGUUCUCCGGCAAGGGAUGGGACCAGUGAUCCCCCGGUGGUGGAGCCCAUGAUUACAGAGCCCAGCACAGGUACUCCUUCUUGUCAGAAAACUUCCCUUGGGUUCUUCUUCUUCUGAUCUUCUUUUUUGGAUAUUCGCUUGACUUUUUUCUCCCUCUUCCUGUCUUCAGAUCCUCCUUCCAUGGAGCUGAUGGAGACCGAGGCCACCGGCGAAGAGAACGUGCGCGGAAAUACUGACGAGGCCGCUGCCACCGCAGAAGAGGCCGGCGCUGAUGAUCCUGCCGAUGAAGAGGCCACCAAGGCUGCUGGCGCAGGAGCUGGCGAAGGGUCCGGCGAUCGCACUGACGACCCGGGGGCCGCAGGAACGCAAGGCGCUAUGCCGACCGCUGAUCCCUCCGCCGCUGACGCAGCGCCAGGCUCCGAAGAGCCCCAGCCCGGCACCUACUUGAAGGCCGGCGACGGUGUCUUCAUCAGGCUCCCCUGGGCGUCGAGCUCCAGGGCGCUGGUCGAGGGAGAAGCUUUUGACGGAGAAGUGCUCGCCUCCGCUAGGCUGACAGUGGUUGACGCGCCAAGCAGCAGCAGCGGCGAGUCUGAGGAGGAGCAGCUGCUCCGGAAGUUGGUGUCGCUCUACCGCGCCCGACAAGCCAAACUGGAAUCCCGAGAAGCACUUGUCGCGCAGGCGGGAGUGGACAUAGAGAAGCAUGCGGAGGAGCUCCAGAGCCGCAACCAAGAGGCCCUCCGGUCCAUUGCAGAGGAGAGGGUGCAGCUUGCCGAGGCGCGGAAGGCCUUUCUCCUCGAGAAGGCUGAAGCCGAAGAGCAGCAGCGGCUUGCCGCCGAGGAGAUGUCCAUGUGAGAAGGCGAGCUGACGCAGCGGAAGGUCAACUUGGACAGUUAUGAGGAGGAGCUUGCCGCGCGCGAGGAAACACUUGGCGGGGCCCUCAAGGAAGCGAAGGAUGCUGCUGCUGCUGUCGAGGCCGCCAAGAAGGAGCUGGAGGUGAAGGUGACGCAGCUAGAGGCUGAUAUCAAGGCAAAAAAUGAAGAGCUUGCCGCGCUCCAGCGCGAGCGCGAGAAGGACGCCCUCGCCCAUGGUGAGCUGCAGGGUUGUCUCUCUGAUAAGGGCAGGGAACUGAAUGCCGCCAAGGACGCCAAUGCCGAUCUCGAGCUGAAGCUGGCCACGCUGACUGAGACGCUGGACGGCGCCAAGAAGCGGGAGGAGGACUUGAAGCAGGAGCUCAAGGCCAACGAGGCGCUGCUGACGAGGGCCGCCGAGACCCAGAACACCUUCAGGGAUACCGUGGAGCUCUGGACGGAGGGCCUCGUCAACAUCCCGCAGUUAUUGACGAGGAACUGACGCAGCUGGAACUGGAGGGCUUCGGGUACUCCUCCGACGAGAACAUCCAGCCCAGCGCCAAGCUCACUCUGUUCUUCAAGGGCGUGGCAACGGCCCUCCAGCAGCUCCGGGAAAGGAUCCCAAAGCAACUGGCCGACGAGUCGCGCACGAUCUGCGCCAGGGUUCUGGAGAAGGUGCUGGUGAAGGUGCUCUUCCGCAAUCCAGGCCUCAACCUCACCAACGUCCUCAAGAAGCUGCCGGCGGGUGCUGAUCUUGAAGAGCUCAAAGCCCUUGUCGCACCCAUUGUGGACAAGGUGAAUGAAGUCAAGAGGGUUGAUGGUGGCCGCGUAGACUAGGCCACUUAUUUCUUCUUUCCUUGCCGCUGUCAUUUAUGUUACGAGAACAAUUCAGUCAGCCCUGCGACAAGUUAUUUUUGUAAUAUAACUAUAUCUUGGGUAGUAUUUGCUAUGUUAUUUCCUUUACUCGAUUCCUUCCUUUGUAUGUUUUUACCCUACGCUUUUAGGGAACUUGCCGGCGCAGGCACCCUUGCCGCGAGCGCUGAGUGUGGAACAUCAGCAGCCUGCUGGCGGUGCUACUUCCGGCAAGAAACCUUGUCGCAACUAGUCGCAGCACACUUAAGUUGUUGAGCGGACUCGAAACAAAGUAAGGGCGCAACUAGCUACGAGUUGGUUCCUCCGCACACAGGUUUUCCAUACAAAGCACGGUCGUUCAAGGAAGAUAACUUAAUAAAUUUUAGAACUGACUAUGCUCAAACUUUGGCAACUUAGCUUUUCUGUCGUCUGCGUCCCGGCAAGGCUAUACUUUCUCGAACGACGCCUGGUCCACACCAUUAUCUUCUCCUCCCNNNNNNNNNNNNNNNNNNNNNNNNNNNNNNNNNNNNNNNNNNNNNNNNNNNNNNNNNNNNNNNNNNNNNNNNNNNNNNNNNNNNNNNNNNNNNNNNNNNNNNNNNNNNNNNNNNNNNNNNNNNNNNNNNNNNNNNNNNNNNNNNNNNNNNNNNNNNNNNNNNNNNNNNNGAGGGAACCUUCCUUUUGAGAAAAAGAAAGAAGAGAAAAUAAAGAUAUGGAGCCUUAAGGCUCGUUAUUGCUUACCGGGGGUAAGUGCUGCACGAAGUGUCAGAUAAUACAUGCAAAAAAGAAAAUAGCAUGAAAUUUGACAAGAUGUGCGGAGCAUAUGAUCUUUAUUUAUGCACGGGAUCUGCGCCCGGCUUUGUACAAAGGGUUACAUGCAACAGCGGCAAGGCUUGUACAAAAGGUGGUUGCCGGAACAGGUUCCGGCAACCGCGCCUUAUGGGUAAAACUUACGAAGAUGCUCAAUGUUCCAGGAGUUGCUCACUGGAGAGCCAUCUUCGGUCUCAAGGCGGACAGCGCCAGGCCUGGUGACUCACUUCACCCGAUAAGGGCCUUCCCACUUCGGCGUCAACUUGUUGGAAUUCUUGGCGGAUUGAACGCGCCGAAGAACAAGGUCGCCUUCCUCGAGACUUCUGGCAUUGACUUUGCGGCUAUGGUAGCGGCGCAAAGCUUGCUAGUAUCGAGCAGCUCGUACAGCAGCCUGAAGACAAUCUUCCUCAAGGAGCAGCGCGUCAUCUUGUCGCAGCUGCUCUUGCUCAAGCUCAUCAUAAGCGAGCACUCGAGGCGAUCCGUGUACGAGUUCCGUGGGGAGAACUGCCUCUGCUCCAUAGACUAGAGCGAAAGGUGUCUGGCCAGUGGCUCGAUUUGGCAUCGUCCUGAUCGACCAAAGAACCACCGGCAGCUCCUCGAUCCAGUUCUUUCCGCACUUCUGCAGCCUGUUGAAAGUUCUGGUCUUGAGCCCGCGCAGCACUUCAGCGUUUGCCCUCUCCGCUUGACCGUUGCUUCUCGGGUGAGCAACAGAAGCGAAGCAGACCUUGGCGCCAAGAUCUUGGACGUACUGCAUGAAGGUGCGGCUCGUAAAUUGUGUGCCAUUGUCGGUGAUGAUCCUGGUAGGGACUCCAAAAUGGCAAACAAUCGACUUGAAGAACUUGACUGCUGGCUGUGCUGUCACCUUCCUCACUGCUUCCACUUCCGACCACUUUGUGAACUUGUCGAUUGCAACGUACAAUAACUCAAAGCCCCCGACAGCUCGGGGAAAGGGGCCGAGAAUGUCGAGCCCCCAGACCGAAAAUGGCCAGGAUAAAGGGAUCGUCUGGAGAGCUUGAGCUGGCUGGUGUAUCUGCUUGGAAUGGAACUGGCACGCUUCACACUUGGUUACUUGUGCAGUUGCAUCCUGGAGGGCUGUUGGCCAAAAUAAACCUUGCCGGAAGGCUUUGCCGGCAAGGGCUCUUGCGCCAAUGUGAUGACCACAUAUGCCUCCAUGUAUCUUCGCCAACAGCUUCUGUCCAUCUUCCCGGGGAAUGCACUUCAAUUUCACUCCGUUGAAUCUUCUUCUGUACAGUAUGUCGUCGACAAACUGGUACAUACUUGAUUGCCGGGCUACUCUCUCCGCUUCUUCUUGCUCUUCGGGAAGUUCUCCUGUCUGAAGGAAACGGACAAUCUGCUGCGCCCAUGUCGGAGCUUGCGGCUCAACAACAAGGACUAAAGGCACAAAUGCUGCUGCGGGAACAUCUGCUUCUACAGCAAGAAUCUGCGGCUCAGCCGGAGCUUGAUGUUCCCCGGCAAGCUUGCCGGAGCAAAACUUGUCGGGAGCGUCUGCUUCAAUGGAGCAAACCCUAGGGCUUGUCGAAGCAGACUGCUCCUCAGCACUCUUUGUGUUGAUAUUGGGGACCUUCUUAGCGGCGGCUUCGGGGAGCUCUGCCGGAAUGUAGUCACCCGAAAUCAACUUCCUCUUCUUGCUCUGUCCAGUUGAUGGUGUUACAGAUGGUUGAGUCAACUUGAGCACAAAGAUCCCUGGUUCCACAGGUAACUUUAAUGCAGCGCAUUUUGACAGGCCAUCAGCAACGUCGUUCUGGGCUCUCGGAACAUGUUCCAUCUGCAGGCCGUCAAAAUGCUCUUCCAACUUUCUCACUUCAUCAAUGUAAGCUUCCAUCAACGGACUCUGAUAAUCUUUGUUUACUUGGCGGACGACAAGCUGCGAGUCACCCCUAACAAUAAGCUUCUUGAUCCCAAGGUCUGCCGCGAUCCUGAGUCCGGCAAGCAAACCUUCAUACUCUGCAGUAUUGUUUGUCGCUUGCUCCUUGGGAAAGUGCAUCUGGACCACGUACUUGAGGUGCUCUCCGGUGGGUGCGACAAGUAACAUGCCCGCACCGGCGCCUUGCAGCGAGAAGGCACCAUCAAAGUACAUGAUCCAUUCUUUGCUUGCUUCCUUGAUGGGGAGGCUCGUCUCUGGAGUUUCUUCAUCAGGUGUCGGCGUCCAUUCUGCUAUGAAUUCUGCCAAUUCUCGGCUCUGGAUAGUUGAAGUACUUUCAAACUUGAAGCCAAAGCUUGACAAUUCUAGUGCCCACUCGACAAUCCUGCCUGUUGCUUCUGGAUUCUGCAAUAUCCUCUUCAACGGAAAACGAGUGACAACUGUGAUCUCAUGUGCUUGAAAGUAAUGGCGCAGCUUUCUCGAGGCCAUGAGAAGGCCGAAAAGCAACUUUUGCACAGCAGAGUACCUUGACCUAGCCCCCUGCAGAAGGGAACUGACAAAGUAAACUGGGUGCUGCACCAUCUUCUUCUGCUUCUCUUCUUGUGGCUGCACAGAUUCGUCCUUGUCGGGACCAGAGCUUGUCGGGGAAGCCCCCUGCUUGUCGCUGGACGUGCUUGCCGCGGUUGCUGGCUCAUCAUCCGCCUCCCUUUCCGCUACUAACGCAGCACUAACCACUUGAUUGGUUGCCGCUAGAUACAGCAACAACUUCUCUUGUGGCUUAGGUGCGACAAGUAUUCGAGUGGAGGACAGGUAUCUCUUCAAGUCCUACAGCGCAGCCUCCGCUUCCGGAGUCCAUUUCAUUGGACCUGCCUUUUUCAAUAUUUUGAAAAAUGGCAGGGCGCGCUUAGCAGACUUAGAGAUGAACCUGCUGAGAGCAACCACGUAGCCGGCAAGCCUUCAUACAUCCUUGACGCGUUUCGGUGCUUCGAUCUGCUCGAUGGCCCUGAUCUUGUCGGGAUUGGCUUCAAUCCCCCGCUGAGAUACGAAGAACCCGAGAAGCUUGCCGGAAGGGACUCCAAACACACACUUCUCGGGGUUGAGCUUGAGGUUGAUCUUGCGCAGAUUUGCAAAGGUCUCGUCCAAAUCUUGGAUCAGAGUUGCUCUAUCUUUGCUCUUGACCACUAUGUCAUCCAUGUAAGCUUCUACAUUUCUGUGCAACUGUGGCUCAAAAGCUUCGUGAACUGCCCUUGCAAAUGUUGAACCAGUAUUCUUCAAACCGAAAGGCAUCCAUACAAAACAGUAUGUGCCACAUGGAGUGAUGAAUGCGGUUUUCUCCUCAUCCUCUUCUGCCAUGAAGAUCUGAUGAUACCCUGAAUAUGCAUCAAGAAAUGAAAGCAAAUCACAUCCUGCCGUGGAGUCGACAAUCUGGUCAAUGCGCGGCAAGGGAAAUGGAUCUUUGGGACAAGCUUUAUUAACAUCAGUGAAGUCAAUACAAAGCCUCCACUUUCCGUUCGCCUUGCGCACGACUACAGGAUUGGCCAGCCACGUAGGAUGGAGCACUCCUCUGACAAGGCCUACUGCUUCCAACCUCUUGAUCUCUUCUGCAAUGAACUCUUGGAGCUCCACUGCCUGUUUCCUAACUUUCUACUUGACAGGCCGCGCGUGAGGACAAACGGCAAGGUGGUGCUCAAUUACUUUCCUGGGAACACCGGGGAUAUUAGAUGGUUGCCAUGCAAACACAUCGAUAUUCGCCCGCAGGAAAGCAACGAGUGCGCUUUCCUAUUUAGGAUCAAGCGUGGCACUGAUGGUGAAGGUACCACCAGUGCCGUCCUCCUUGGCGGCCACUUUCUUGGUCUCUGGUGAAGCUGUCUUUGUUUUCUUACACUUGCCGGUGGAGCUCGAUGGUGCGUCCUCGACGGUAGCGCAGCACUCCGAAGAGGUGCGCUUGCCGAAGUGUGCAUCAGAGCUCUUGCCGGACUUGGUCUUCUUCUUCCCCCUGGGAGCUUCAGUAGCAAGUGUCUUGCUAUCUGCUGCGGCUGCUGCUUCCCGGUAGAUCUUGUCGGUGCAGAUAAGGGCAUCUUUCUUGUCGCCAGGGACAGAAAUGACACUUAUUGGACCGGGCAUCUUCAGUACAUUGUACGCAUAGUGAGAGGCUGCCAUGAACUUGGCGAGUGCUGGACGGCCAAGUAUUCCAUUUUAGGGCAAUGGAAAAUCAGCAACGUCAAAGGUGACCUUCUUAGUUCUGAAGUUUAGCUCGCUGCCAAAUGUUACCGGCAACGUGAUCUUCCCCUUCGGCUUGCUCCUUCCCGGAUUAAUUCCUUGGAACGUGCCGGUCUCUUCGAGCUCACUGUCGGGGAUCUGGAGCUUCUUGAGUACCGCGGAGGAGAUCAGAUUCAAGCCGGCCCCGCCGUCAACUAGCAUCUUUGUGACCUUGAGGUUGCGGAUAGUUGGUGAAACCAACAUCGGCAAGCACCCGACCGCAGUUACGCGAUCAGGGUGGUCCUCAAUGUCAAAGAUGAUAGGCGUGCUGGACCACUUCAGAGGCUUGCGUGACUCCACUGGUGGUUCUGCUGCAUUAACUUCCCGCACCCACUGUUUGAGCUGGCGGUGCGAGGUAUGCAGAGAAGCACCGCCGUCAACGCACAGAACCUUUGUUGCUUUCUGAAACUCCUGCUCAUCGGCCUCGUCAUCAUCCAUGUCUUCAUCUUCAUCCUUGUCGCGGCCGCGGGGAGGCCUGUCUCCUUGUCGCUGCUUGGCAUUGCCGCGGCGCCCUCCCCGGCCAGGACGCUUCUUGCCGGACCCACCAGUACCUUCCUGGGCUUUCUCCUUGUCGCGUCGCUCGUACUCAGCUUUCUGCAGCUCAACAAGCUGCUCGACCUUCUUGCAACUUUGGAGAUCGUGGCCCUUAGUGCGGUGGAUCUUGCAAUAUUGCUUGUCGGAGCCGCCCUGCUUGUCGGCGGCCGCCGCAGGUUCUGCUUCCUUGGCGCCACCUCCAUUGUCGGACUGCUCAACAGCUACCACAUCUUUACCUUUCCUUCUUCUAUUGUUCCGCCGCCGGUUUUUCUUUGCCGGGGCAGCAUCCUCAUUGUCAGACCCCCCUGCUCCUGUGUUCUCUCCGGGGAGUUUCCUCCCUUCUUCAGCACGUGCACACUUGUCGGCCAGGGCGUAAAGCUCACUGACGUCUCUUGUCUUGCACAUCGCCAUCUCCUCCCGCAUCCUGCGGUUACGCACGUUCUGAUGGAACGCGCUGAUGACCGCGACGGGGUGGACAUCUGGGAUGUUGCGCUGCACUUGGCUGAAUCUCUGAAUGUACUUGCGCAGGGGUUCUCCUUCCUUCUGGGCGAGCAGAUGAAGAUCGCUCUCCUGGCCAUGGGGCUUGUGGCCGCCUGUGAAGGCGCCGACAAACUGAUGGCACAGAUCCGCCCAUGAGGAGAUGGAGUUGUCCGGCAAGUGCAUGAGCCAGGAUCUAACAUUGGGCUUGAGCACCAGUGGGAAGUAGUUGGCAAGGAUCUUCUCGUCGCGCCCUCCGGCAGCUUGCACCGCGAUGGUGUAGAUGCUGAGGAACUCCGACGGCUGCAACCUGCCAUCAUACUUCUCUGGUACAUCUGGCUUGAAGUUCUUGGUGCUGGGCCACUGGACUUGCCGCAGCUCACGAGUGAACGCAGGGCAGCCUACCGCGUACGGCAAGUCGCCUGGUUCCCCUGGCGCAUGCAUGUUGACAGCGGGCCCAGCGCGCUGGUCUGACUGACGCCGCGCUUCCCUUCGACGCUCGAUGCAAGUACGAGCGUCUUCCUGUUGUCGUUCUUGAAGAACUUGGCGCUGAUCACGGCGAGCUCGCAGAUACGACGAUGCCGUGGAGUCGGUGUCGGGGUUGACCCGACGAGUCGGUGAUCUUGGCCUUCGGGGCGGGGAGUGCACGGUGCUGGCACCUCUGCCAGUCUUGUCGCCAUCGGCUCACGUCCGGCAAUCUUGUCGCGGCUGUGACGCAUUUGGCUGCCGGGGAGUGUCGUCGUUGGUGAAGCCGAUGAGGCUCUGAAUGGUGGCCCUCCAAUCAUCAAUCUUGUCCGCCGUUGGAGGGUAAUCCAGGAGCAGUUGGGCUCAGGCCAACGCUUCUUCUGGAUUCUUCGGUGGCGGCGGUGAACGGUGCGAGGAGCGGGAUAUGCUCGGACUUCCAACUGGGUUGGAAGGAGCAGUACCCCGUCCAGGCGACUGUACUUCACUCGUGCCGGCAUGCUGGCGUGCAUGCUGGUCUUGAACGCCCCGAGAUCCACCAGCUUGGCCUUGCUCUAACGCGAGUAUGGUGCUGCGAGGACCAUGACGCUGUCGGUCCCACGCCUCCUGAGAUGGGCGCGGUGCGUGUACGGACGCCGAAGUUUGCGGGGCCUUGUCCUUGGAUCUGGUAACGACGUGAGCUCCCUCGUCGGCGCCUGUUCCUCCGCCGGCGUCUACCCCACCACCCGUUUGCUUCGGUGGCGGUGGGAUCGACGCAGACGGAGCAGCCACCUCCGAAGCCUUCUUCUUCGGUGGCAUAUCGAUGAAGAUGAUGAAACAGAUGAAGAUCUGGCUCGCGUGAACGCCGGAUCGGGUUCACACAACCUCGACGCCCCCUACCUGGCACGCCAAAGAUGUCGUGGGAAACGAGCACCUAUGGGGCAAGGGCCCCUUUCGGUCCGGCAGGGAGCGGAGGGCGCACGAAGAGCGGAUCGAGGCGAGCACGCGAGCGAUUUUUACCCAGCUUCGGAGCUCUCCGGAGAAAUAAUACUCCUACUGCUGCUUUGUGAUUGUAUUACGUUCUUGCUCUAGAGCGUGGGAGUGUUCUGGUUUCGAAUGAGUCGAACCCCCUCUACGUUGCACAUGGGCCUCCUUUUAUAGGCUCAAGGGGUCACCGACAGGUGGCAACGCAGACAAGGGUACAAAUGUAAAAAGAGUGGUUGGUACAACUGCCUCUACAGUGCACCCUACCUAACUCUGACGGCAGGGGACAAGAGCAUUUAAUGCCCGUCCGCGUCGCCCAAACAGUGCAGAAAAGCGACCAUUAGGGGCACCACCGCUUGCCACGAUGGCCUUCUCGUCAUCUCCACUUGCCACCUCGCACCGCUUGGCUGCACAGCUUCCCGCCAUGUGCGCCUGGAACGGUCCUGCGGCGACACGUCGACGGAUGCGCUGGAGCGUGGGCACAGAGUGGUGGCUUCGCCGAGGCAAGCGCCUUGCCGCAGUUGUUGUCUUGUCGCGCCCGGGAGCUUGUCGCUCGCCGGGUCUUGCCGGGACGCGCGGCGCGUCGCGGCAAGUUUCUCGAAAUGCCUUGGUUGGCCUUCCCGGCAAGCUCCUCUUGCCGGGGUCUUGUCCUUCCCGGAAAGCUCCUCUUGCCGGGGCCAUGUCUUCUUAGUUAAAACACUUUGUUCUUGUAUGGCUUUGAUAGGAACUACGGAGGAUCUUGGCGGGCACCCGGCAAGCCUUGCCGCGGGGCGCUACGACUGCCCGUGCACAAGUUCGGGAUACUAAGGUACCUGUCGGGGUACUAAAGUAGGGGUACCUUAGUAUCCCGAACUUGUGCACGGGCAAUCGCAGCGCCCCGCGGCAAGGCUUGCCGGGUGCCCGCCAAGAUCCUCUGUAGUUCCUAUUGAUGCCAUUCAAGAACAAAGUGUUUUGACUGAGAAGACAAGACCCCGGCAAGAGGAGCUUGCCGGGAAGGACAAGGCCCCGGCAAGAGGAGCUUGCCGGGAAGGCCCACCAAGGCAUUUCAAGAAACUUGCCGCGACACGCCGCGCGUCCCGGCAAGACCCGGUAAGCGACAAGCUUCUGGGCGCAACAAGACAACGACCGCGGCAAGGCGCUUGCUGCGGCGAAGCCACCACUCUGUGCCCACGCUCCAGCGCAUCCAUCGACGUGUCGCCGCAGGACCGUUCCAGGCGCACGUGGUGGGAAGCUGUGCAGCCAAGCGGUGCAAGGUGGCGAGUGGAGAUGACGAGAUGGCCAUCGUGGCGAACGGUGGCGCCCCUAACGGUCGCUUUUCUGCACUGUUUGGGCGACGCGAACGGGCAAUAAAUGCUCUUGUCCCCUGCCGUCAGAGUUAGGUAGGGUGCACUGUAGAGGCAAUUGUACCAACCACUCUUUUUACAUUUGUACCCUUGUCUGUGUUGCCACCUGUCGGUGACCCCUUGGGCCUCCUUUUAUAGGCUCAAGGGGUCACCGACAGGUGGCAACGCAGACAAGGGUACAAAUGUAAAAAGAGUGGUUGGUACAACUGCCUCUACAGUGCACCCUACCUAACUUUGACGGCAGGGGACAAGAGCAUUUAAUGCCCAUCCGCGUCGCCCAAACAGUGCAGAAAAGCGACCGUUAGGGGCGCCACCGCUUGCCAUGAUGGCCUUCUCGUCAUCUCCACUUGCCACCUCGCACCGCUUGGCUGCACAGCUUCCCGCCACGUGCGCCUGGAACGGUCCUACGGCGACACGUCGACGGAUGCGCUGGAGCGUGGGCACAGAGUGGUGGCUUCGCCGCGGCAAGCGCCUUGCCGCGGUCGUUGUCUUGUCGCGCCCGGGAGCUUGUCGCUCGCCGGGUCUUGCCAGGACGCGCGGCGCGUCGCGACAAGUUUCUCGAAAUGCCUUGGUUGGCCUUCCCGGCAAGCUCCUCUUGCCGGGGUCUUGUCCUUCCCGGCAAGCUCCUCUUGCCGGGGCCUUGUCUUCUUAGUUAAAACACUUUGUUCUUGUAUGGCUUUGAUAGGAACUACGGAGGAUCUUGGCGGGCACCCGGCAAGCCUUGCCGCGGGGCGCUGCGACUGCCCGUGGACAAGUUCGGGAUACUAAGGUACCCCUACUUUAGUACACCGACAGACGCCAUACUCUCCUAGGUUGUGAAACCAAGGCUAUGACCACCAAAAGCUAUGGAAAUCAAAGCAAAUGGAGACCAAAGCUCUGAUACCACUUGUAGGACCUUGAAGUAUGUCUAGAGGGGGGGUGAUUAGACUACUUGACCAAUAAAAACUUAACCUUUUCCCAAUUUUAGAGUUUGACAAAUUUUAGCUACUUUAGGACAAGUCAAGCAAUCAUCACACAAUUCAAGCAAGCAUGCAAAGAGUAUAUAGGCAGCGGAAAUUAAAGCAUGCAACUUGCAAAAAAGUAAAGGGAAGGGUUUGGAGGAUUCAAACGCAAUUGGAGACACGGAUGUUUUUGGCGUGGUUCCGAUAGGUGGUGCUAUCGUACAUCCACGUUGAUGGAGACUUUAACCCACGAAGGGUAACGGUUGCACGAGUCCACGGAGGGCUCCACCCACGAAGGGUCCACGAAGAAGCAACCUUGUCUAUCCCACCAUGGCCAUCGCCCACGAAGGACUUGCCUCACUAGCGGUAGAUCUUCAUGAAGUAGGCGAUCUCCUUUCCCUUACAAACUCCUUGGUUCAACUCCACAAUCUUGUCGGAGGCUCCCAAGUGACACCUAGCCAAUCUAGGAGACACCACUCUCCAAGAAGUAACAAAUGGUGCAUUGAUGAUGAACUCCUUGCUCUUGUGCUUCAAAUGAUAGUCUCCCCAACACUCAACUCUCUCUCAUAGGUUUUGGAUCUGGUGGAAAGAAGAUUUGAGUGGAAAGCAACUUGGGGAAGGCUAGAGAUCAAGAUUCAUAUGGUAGGAAUGGAAUAUCUUGGCCUCAACACAUGAGUAGGUGGUUCUCUCUCAGAAAUGGUAAGUUGGAAGAGUAGAUUCAUUCUGAUGGCUCUCUGCACGAAUGAAGAGGAGGUGGAGGGGUAUAUAUAACCUCCACACAAAAUCUAACCGUUACACACAAUUUACGAAACUCGGUGGGACCGAAUCGUUAAACUCGGUCGGACCGAUUUAGUAAACCUAGUGACCGUUUGUGAUUUUCGGUGGGACUGACAUGCAUCUCGGUGAGACCGAUUCGGUUAGGGUUAGGGCAUAACGUAAUCUCGGUAAGACCGAUUACACAAACUCGGUGAGACCGAUUUGGUAAUAAGCUUUCCAGAGAGUUGGUCAAGUAAACUCGGUGGGACCGAUUUGCUCUUUUCGGUGAGACCGAAAUGUUACAAAUAGGAAACAGAGAGUUUACAUGCAAUCUCGGUGGGACCGACCACUCACUUCGGUUAGACCGAAAUGUUACAAAGGGAAACAGAGAGAUUGCAACCCCAUCUCGGUGAGACCGAGAUCCCUAUCGGUAAGACCGGUUUGCUUAGGGUUUGUGGCAGUGGCUAUGACUUUUGGAAUCGGUGGCGCCAGAUAGAAAGAAUCGGUGUGACCGAUUUUGGCUUUGGGUUUAGGUCAUUUGUGGAUGUGGGAAAGUAAUUGAGGGUUUUGGAGCAUAUCACUGAGCACAUGAAGCAAGAGGCUCAUUAAGCAACACCUCAUCCCUCCUUGAUAGUAUUGGCUUUUCCUAUAGACUCAAUGUGAUCUUGGAUCACUAAAAAGUAAAAUGAAGAGUCCUGAGCUUUUGAGCUUGAGCCAAUCCUUUGUCCUUAGUAUUUUGAGGGAUCCACUUUCAUCAUCCAUGCCAUGCCAUUCAUUGAGCUUUCCUGAAAUAAUAGUCUUGGAAUAGCAUUAGCUCAAUGAGCUAUAUGUUGUUAUGAAUUACAAAAACCACCUAGGGAUAGUUGCACUUUCAGGGGGGCUGGCUGGCUGAGCACAAGACACCAGGGCGUGCCCCCUUCCGGUCUGGCGCGUCCUAGUGGGUUGUGCCCACCUCGUGUCCUCGUAGACCCUAAUUCCAACUCCAUAAAUACAUAUUUUUGGAGAAAAAAUAAGGGAGGAAGUUUGAUUGCGUUUCACGAUACAAAGCCGCCACCACCUCCUGUUCUUCAUCGGGAGGCCAGAUCUGGAGGCCGUUCGGGGGUCCAGAGAGGGGAAUCUUCGGUCUUCGUCAUCGCCAACCCUCCAUCACCAAUUCCAUGACGCUCCCCACUGGGAGUGAGUAAUUCCUUCGUAGACUCGCUGGUCGGUGAGGAGUUGGAUGAGAUUCAUCAUGUAAUUGAGUUAGUUUUGUUAGGGCUUGAUCCCUAGUAUCCACUAUGUUCUGAGAUUGAUGUCGUUAUGACUUUCCUAUGCUUAAUGCUUGUCACUAGGGCCCAGUGCCAUGAUUUCAGAUCUGAACCAUUUAUAUUUUCACCAUUAUAUCUAUGUUCUAUAUCCGAUCUUGCAAGUCAUAUUCACCUAUUACGUGUUAUGAUCUGUAAACCCCAGUGUGACAGUAAUUGGGAUACUUUUCGGUGAUGACCGUAGUUUGAGGUGUUCAUGUAUUCACUAUGUGUUAAUGCUUUGCGCCGGUUCUCUAUUGAAAGGAGGCCUUAAUAUCCCUUAGUUUUCUUAUGGACCCCGCUGCCACGGGAGGGUAGGACAAAAGAUGGCAUGCAAGUUCUUUUCCAUAAGCAUGUAUAACUAUUUAUGGAAUACAUGCCUACAUUAUAUUUAUGAACUGGAGCUAGUUUUGUAUCGCCCUUGGUUAUGACUGUCAUAUGAUGAAUAUCAUCCUAUGAAUUCACCUCCAAUGCCUAUGAAUUUUCCACAUAUUGUUCUUGCUAAGUUACUACUAUUGUUGUUACUGUUACACUUGCUACAAAACCAUUGCUAUCACUGUUACCGUUACUACUAUUGUUACCACUGCUAUCAAAACCAUCAUAUUACUGUGCUACUGAUCACUUUGCUACAAAUAUUUAAUCUCCAGGUGUGGUUGAAUUAACAACUCAACUGCUAAUACUUGCAAAAAUUCUUUGGCUCCCCUUGUGUCGAAUCUAUAAAUUUGGGUUGAAUACUCUACCUCAAAAACUGUUGCGAUCCCCUAUACUUGUGGGUUAUCAGGGCCCUCUCGGUAAUACAACAUCACAAGAAGCUUCCAAGAAAUGUGACUAAGGAGUUAGUCAUGGGAUCUUGUAUUACAGAACAAGUAAAGAGACUUGCCGGUAACGAGAUUGAACUAGGUAUGAGAUACCGACGAUCGAAUCUCAGGCAAGUAACAUACCGACGGACAAAGGGAACUGCAUACGGGAUUAACCGAAUCCUUGACAUCGUGGUUCAACUGAUAAAAGAUCUUCCUAGAAUAUGUAGGAACCAUUAUGGGCAUCCAGGUCCCGCUAUUGGUUAUUGAUCGGAGAGGUGUCUCAGUCAUGACUACAUGAUUCCCGAACCUGCAGGGCCGCACGCUUAACGUUCGUUGACGCUAGAGUAGUAUUGGGAUAUUUGAUGAUUAGUAACCAAAUGUUUAUUGGAGUCCCGGAUGAGAUCUCGGACGUCACGAGGAGUCUCAGAAUGGUCGGGAGGUAAAGAUUUAUAUAUGGAAAGUUGUCUUUAGGGUUUCAGAAAAUGUUUCAGUUUUUCGGUAUUGUACCGGGAAGGUUCCGGAAACUUCCAGAGGAGUCCGUAAGUCCACCAAGGGUUCCACCACGUCCCAAGGGUCAGUAUGUGCUGAGAGGAGGUGCCAUGGCCUUAUUAGGCCAGACGCACACAAGUCCCUCAAGGCCCAUGCAGUUGGGAAAGGUGGAAAGUCCACCUUUGUAUGGAAGGGAAAGAGGAGGACUAGGAUUCCACCUCCUCCCCCCUUGGCUGCGCCCUAGGGUUUGGAGGAGUUGUUCCCCACGCCCCUCCACCUAUAUAUAGAGGGGAAGGGGCUCCCCAAGAGGACACACAAAGACCUUGGCACCCCUUUCUCUCCCGUUACUCUAUAGUUCCACCGCCUCAUCCCGGCGACGCUUAGCGAAGCGUUGUCGGUACUCCACACCGCCAUCAUGCCGUCCUGUUGGUUGUGAUCCCAUCUACUUCUCCUGUACCUCUUGUUGGAUCAAUAAGGAGGAAAUGUCAUCGAGCCGCACGUGUGCUAAACUCGGAGGAGCAGUCCGUUUGGCACUAGAUCGGUCAGAUCACGAUCGGAUCGCGAAGAGUACGACUACAUCAACCGCGUUAUAUACGCUUCAGCUUAGUGAUUGAUGACCCACAAGUAUAGGGGAUCUAUCGUAGUCCUUUUGAUAAGUAAGAGUGUCGAACCCAACGAGGAGCAGAAGGAAAUGACAAGCGGUUUCAGUAAAGUACUCUCUGCAAGCACUGAAAUUAUCGGUAACAGAUAGUUUUGUGAUAAGGUAAUUCGUAACGGGUAACAAGUAAAAAAAGUAAACAAGGUUCAACAAGGUGGCCCAAUCCUUUUUGUAGCAAAGGACAAGCCUGCACGAACUCUUAUAUAAAGCAAAGCGCUCCCGAGGACACAUGGGAAUUAUUGUCAAGCUAGUUUUCAUCAUGCUCAUAUGAUUCGCAUUCAUUACUUUGAUAUGUGGGUGGACCGGUUUUUGGGUGCUGCCUUACUUGGACAAGCCUCCCACUUAUGAUUAACCCCUCUCGCAAGCAUUCGCACCUACUGAGGGAGUCCUGGAUUGGGGGGUAUCCGGACAGCCGGACUGUAUACAUCGUCUAGACUAUUGAAGCGUAAAGAUACAAGACUCAAGACUUCGGCUCGUGUCCGGAUGGGACUCUUCUUUGCGUGGAAGACAAGCUUGGCGAUCCGGAUAUUAUAUUUCCUUCCCUGUAACCGACUCCAUGUAAACCCUAGACCUCUCCAGUGUCUAUAUAAACUGGAGAGGAUGGUCCUUCGAAGGCCGAUCACAAUUAUAAUCAUACCAUCAUAGGCUAGCUCUUAGGGUUUAGCCUCUUGAUACGUCUCCGUCGUAUCUACUUUUCCAAACACUUUGCCCUUGUUUUGGACUCUAACUUGUAUGAUUCGAAUGGAACUAACCCGGACUGACGCUGUCCUCAGACGAAUUGCCAUGAUGUUGUUUUUGUGCAGAAAAUAAAAGUUCUUGGAACGACCUGAAACUCCACAGAAUAUCUUAGAAUAAAUAAUAAAAAAUCCUCGCCAAAGAUGAAGACCAGGGGGACCCACACCCUGUCCAUGAGGGUGGGGGCGCCCCCCCUAGGGCGUGCCCCCUACCUCGUGGGCCCCCUGGUGGCCCUCCGACGCCAACUCCAACUCCAUAUAUUGGCUUUCGGGGAGAAAAAAAUCAGAGAGAAGAAAUCAUCACGUUUUACGAUACAGAGCCGCCGCCAAGCCCUAAUCUCUCUUGGGAGGGCUGAUCUGGAGUCCGUUCGGGGCUCCGGAGAGGGGGUUUUGUCGCUGUCAUCAUCAUCAACCAUCCUCCAUCACCAAUUUCAUGAUGCUCACCGCCGUGCGUGAGUAAUUUCAUCGUAGGCUUGCUGGACGAUGAUGGGUUGGAUGAGAUUUAUCAUGUAAUCAAGUUAGUUUUGUUAGGGUUUGAUCCCUAGUAUCCACUAUGUUCUAAGAUUGAUGUUGCUAUGACUUUGCUAUGCUUAAUGCUUGUCACUAGGGCCCGAGUGCCAUGAUUUCAGAUCUGAACCUAUUAUGUUUUCAUGAAUAUAUGUGAGUUCUUGAUCCUAUCUUGCAAGUCUAUAGUCACUUACUAUGUGUUAUGAUCCGGCAACCUCGAAGUGACAAUAAUCGGAACCACUCCCGGUGAUUACCAUAGUUUGAGGAGUUCAUGUAUUCACUAUGUGCUAAUGCUUUGUUCCGGUUCUCUAUUAAAAGGAGGCCUUAAUAUCCCUUAGUUUCCAAUAGGACUCCGCUGCCACGGGAGGGUAGGACAAAAGAUGUCAUGCAAGUUCCUUUCCAUAAGCACGUAUGACUAUAUUCCGAAUACAUGCCUACAUUACAUUGAUGAACUGGAGCUAGUUCUGUGUCACCCUAUGUUAUGACUGUUACAUGAUGAACCACAUCCGACAUAAUUAUCCAUCAUUAAUCCGGUGCCUACGAGUUUUCCAUAUACUGGUUCUCGCUUAUUUACUUUUCCAUUGCUACUGUUACAAUCACUACAAAAUACCAAAAACAAUACUUUUGUUGUCUUUACUUCUGUUACCGUUACCACCAUUAUCAUAUUACUUUGCUACUAAACACUUUGCUGCAGAUACUAAGUUUCCAGGUGUGGUUGAAUUGACAACUCAGCUGCUAAUAAUUGAGAAUAUUAUUUGGCUCCCCUUGUGUCGAGUCAAUAAAUUUGGGUUGAAUACUCUACCCUCGAAAACUGUUGCGAUCCCCUAUACUUGUGGGUUAUCAAGACCUUUUUCUGGCGCUGUUGCCGGGGAGCAUAGCUCUAUUCCUUGAGUUACUUGGGAUUUAUAUCUGCUGGACACUAUGAAGAACUUGAAAGACGCUAAGACAACAAUUUAUCCCUCAACGAUGAGGGGAGGUAAGGAACUGCCAUCUAGCUCUGCACUUGAUUCACCUUCUGUUAUGAGUAAGCUAGCGACACCUAAACCUGCUACUACUAUUUGUUCUGAUAUGUCGCAUGUUAUUGAUGAUGCCACCUCUGCUAUGCAUGAUACUUAUGAUGAAACUACUUCUAUGUGUGAUACUACUGUGCCCCUUGGUGAAUUUCUAGAUGAGCAAAUUUCUAGGUCUAGAGAAAGAGAAAUUAUUGAAUCUGAAUACAAUGAUGAGAGUGAUGAUGAAAAUAUGCCUGCUACUCCUGAGGGUUAUCUUUUUGAUGCAGAAUCUUCUGCAGCUAUUUUUGCUUGCCAGUAUAGAUACGAAUUUAAGAGGUUGCUAGUUAAAUGGAGUAAAGAAUCUUUUAGAGAUAGAAUGAGGCCCGACCCUACUUUUUCUACUUCACCUAUUUGUGUUCCUGAUAAGGAUUAUUAUGAAUUUUCUAUUGAUCCAGAUAUAAUCACUUUGGUUGAAUCUGAUCCUUUCUAUGGCUAUGAAUCUGAAACCGUUGUGGCACAUCUUACUAAGUUAAAUAAUAUAGCCGCCCUGUUUACUAAUAAUGAGAGAUCGCGCUACCUUUAUUUACUCAAAAUAUUUCCGUUCUCAUUAAAGGGUGAUGCUAAGAUAUGGUUUAAUUCUCUUGAUCCUGGUUGUGUGCGUAGUCCCCAGGAUAUGAUCUAUUACUUUUCUGCUAAAUAUUUCCCUGCUCAUAAGAAACAAGCUGCCUUGAGGGAAAUAUACAACUUCGUGCAAAUUGAAGAAGAGAGUCUCCCACAAGCUUGGGGGAGGCUUCUCAAGUUACUUAAUGCUUUGCCUGAUCAUCCUCUUAAGAAACCUGAAAUACUUGAUAUCUUUUAUAAUGGACUAACCGAUGCUUCCAGAGAUUACCUGGAUAGUUGUGUUGGUUCUCUUUUCAGGGAAAGAACACCAGAUGAAGCUGAAAUUCUAUUGAAUAAUAUGUUGACAAAUGAAAAUAAUUGGGCACCUCCUGAGCUAGUUCCAGAGCCAAUUAUUGAGCCUAUUCCUAAACCAACUCCGAAGAAGAGAGGUGUUCUAUUUCUCAUCCCCAAAGAUAUGCAAGAGGCAAAGAAAUCUAUGAGAGAAAAAGGUAUUAAAGCCGAAGAUGUUAAGAAUUUACCUCCUAUUGAAUAAAUACACGGUCUUAAUUUACCUCCUGUUGAAGAACUAUAUGAUCUCAAUACUUUAUUCACUGAAGAACCUCCUGAUCCCGAUAUUCCGACAUAGGUAGUAAAGGUAAAUUCUCUCUAUAGAUAUGAUAAAGCUGAAGUCCCUCCUACUAAAAUUGCUAGUCAGUGCUUGGAUGAGUUUGAUGACUUUAUGUUUAAGCAAGAUGACUUUAAUGCUUAUUUUGGUAGACAAUUAAAACAAGAUGCUUAUAUGAUUAAACGCUUGGGUGAUUAUAUGGCUAAUAUUAGAGGUGAACUUAAACUUGUUAGCAAACAUGCUUCUAUGGUUACCACUCAAGUAGAACAAGUACUUAAAGCUCAAAAAGAAGUGCUUGAUGAAAUGAAUAGUAAGAAAAACGAUUAUGCUGUUAGAGUGGCUACUAGAACUAGUAGAAUGACUCAGGAACCUUUGUAUCCUGAAGGCCACCCUAAGAGAAUCGAGCAAGAUUCUCAGAGAAAUGAUAUUGAUGUACCUAGUUCUUCAAGAAAGAAGAAAAAGAAGAAUGAUAGGACUUUGUGAACUUCUAGUGAACCUAUUGCUGAACCACCUGAGAAUCCAAAUGAUAUCUCUAUGUCUGAUGCUGAAACACAAUAUGGUAAUGAACAUGAACCUAGUGAAAAUGUUAAUGAUAAUGUUCAUGAUAAUGCUCAACCUAGUAAUGAUAAUGAUGUAGAAGUUGAACCUGCUGUUGAUCUUGAUAACCCACAAUCAAAGAAUCAACGUUAUGAUAAAAGAGACUUCAUUGCUAGGAAACAUGGUAAAGAAAGGGAACCAUGGGUUCAGAAACCCAUGCCUUUUCCUCCAAAACCAUCCAAGAAAAAGGAUGAUGAGGAUUUUGAGCGCUUUGCUGAAAUGAUUAGACCUAUCUUUUUGCGUAUGCGAUUAACUGAUGUGCUCAAAACAAAUCCUUCUGCUAAGUAUAUGAAGGAUAUUAUUACUAAUAAAAGAAAGAUACCUGAAGCUGAAAUUUCCACCAUGCUUGCUAAUUAUACUUUUAAGGGUGGAAUACCAAAGAAACUUGGAGAUCCCGGAGUACCUACUAUACCAUGCUCCAUUAAGAGAAAUUAUGUUAAAACUGCUUUAUGUGAUCUUGGAGCCGGUGUUAGUGUUAUGCUUCUCUCUUUAUAUCGUAGACUUGACUUGAAUAAGUUGACACCUACUGAAAUAUCUUUGCAAAUGGCUGAUAAAUCAACUGUUAUACUUGUCGGUAUUUGUGAGGAUGUGCCUGUUGUGGUUGCAAACGUCACUAUUUUAACGGACUUUGUUAUUCUUGAUAUUCCCGAGGAUGAUAGUAUGUCUAUUAUUCUUGGAAGACCUUUUCUUAAUACUGUAGGGGCUUUUUUUGAUUGCAACAAAGGCAAUGUCACUUCUCAUGUUAAUGGCAAUGAGCACACGGUACACUUUCCAAGGAAACAACCUCAAGUUUAUAGUAUUAACUCUAUUGGAAAAAUUCCAUCGAUUAUAUUUGGAGGUUUUGAAUUUCCUCUCCCUACUGUCAAGAAAAAAGUAUGAUAUAUUUAUUAUUGGGGAUGUCCAUAUCCCCAUUGAGGUAACUUAGUGUUAUUCAAAAUUUCUCCGGUUCCGUGAUUAUUCGGAAUGAGUUUGUUAACAAGACUUGAUCAACCUUGUUAGUGGGUUCAUUUUGAUGAUCACGAGAUGGAUGAAACUAGAAGCACAACCUUUUGUACCCUCUUUAUAUUUUCUGUUAUUUAGUAGAAAUAAAGUAAAAUAGUAUUUUUCUUCUGUCUGUUUCCCGACUUAUCCAUGCAAUAUAAAAAUAUCCCGAAAAUAGAAGUCCUCAGAAUGCCAUGCCAUAUUAAUAUGAUUUUUUCGGGAAUAUUUGAGGAUUUAGUGUGCAAAAAUCACCGCGGGGGGAGCUGCCACCUGGUCACGAGGGUGGAGGGCGCGCCCUACCCCCUGGGCGCACCCCCUGCCUCGUGGGCCCAUGAUGGCCCUCCUUCACUUAUCCCUGCACCCAUCUUCUUUCUCUGCCUCACACAAACACGAAAAACCAACUCAAGCACGAGUUCCAGCCCCUAUUGCUGUGAUUUUCAAUCUCGUUGCUCAAAGCACCUCUCGCAAAACUGCUUGGGGAGAUUGUUCCUUGGUAUGUGACUCCUCCAUUGGUCCAGUUAGUUUUUGUUCUGGUGCUCUAUUCAUUGCAAAUUUAUGCUGCAUAGGUGACCAUGUUCUUGAGCUUGCAUGUCAAAUUCAUAUGGUCCCAGGUAGUUUUAAUGCUUGAUUUAGGCUCUAGGCACUCAUGGGAGUAGUUGCUAUCAAUUUUAUUGAAGUUGGUUCACUUUUAUUUGAAGUUACUAAAAAUUUCAGAAUUUUUUAGAGGAAACAAUAUGUUUAGGAGGAUGUUCCAAGGUGGUCCUUCAAGGAAGCAAGGUCCCAGGCUUGCAAUGCGUGAUGCUGACGAGGAACCACCAAGAGACGCUCCUGUGAGGCCCUGUGAAUGGCCUUCGGAAAAUUUUAUGAAUCAAGCGGGAAUCAAAGAAGAAUUUAGCACAUAUUUGCGUAACGCCGGUCUUGAGGACUUUGAAGCUGACAAAUGCCCCCAAUAUCAUGAUCUCACAAGUUCAUUUGUGAGGAGGUUUGAGUUUUUAUCUUCACGUAAUUCUCCUUCAGUCAUGUUUGACCUUUAUGACAAAUCUUAUACCAUGGACUUAGAGGAUUUCACUUCUGCUUGCAAACUUCCAUCAUGGGGUAGUGUCAGGGAUCCCCCUAAAUCUGAAUAUAGAGACUUUCUUGCUAAAAUAACUGUGGGGGAAUCUAGAGAUAUAACACAAGCCACUUUAGGGAGCGUUCACUUUCCUGCUUUACAUUAUUUUGCUCUCUUUAUAGGUAGAUGCAUUAAUGCUAAGGAUGAAGCAUGUCACAUGUGUGCCCCUGAUCUCAGCAUUCUCAAAAGUGCUGUGUUAGGAGACCAAUCUUAUCAUAUGGGAGCCGUCGUAGCUCGGAGGUUGCAUCAUAACAGAUAUAACGGAGAUUUCUUUGGAGGAAUUUAUGCAACCCACUUAGCUAAUUUUCUUGAGAUAGACAUUCGUGAGGGUGAUAUGGAGUUACCCCCUACCUAUUUAGAUUUUGUUUCUAUGGUUUCCCACCAGUUUAUCGAGAGGACUGAACCACCUCUCCAGUAUCGACUAAUCUUUAACAAACGGCAUAUAGUCCAUGUUACUCUUCCUGCUCCUGCCUUCUUUGAUUCUCGGACAAAAGGAAGAUAUAUUAUUACCAGAGAGGAGGCAGAUGAGUACGAGAAGAGAGCGGAGGCUGCUCGACGCCAUGCUGUAGCUCAGGAGGCGAUAGCCACUGCAUCGCAGUACGACCCCAGUUUCACCUACGGGUAUCCACCAGGCUAUCCCUGGCAAUAGACCAACUUAGGCCAAAAGCCUAAGCUUGGGGGAGUACGUAUUUCCCACCGACAUUACAUUCAUGUUCACACACACUCAUUGCUAGAUGUCGGUGUUCAUACUCUUUCACUGUAAUAUCCAUGCUAGAUUACUUUCUUUUUCCUGCCUUCUUCUUCUUGUGUGUUUAAUAAACCUUAAGAAAAACAAAAAAAAUAGUAGUAGUUUAUUUCUUUGCUGUAGGAUUAAGAAGGAAAACCCAAAAAUAUUUCCCGUUCUUCUUUUGCUUGUUGGGAGAUUUCCCGUGUAAAUAGUUUUUUUAUUUCCUUUCUUUUCUUUGGGGGUCAGUAGGAGAAGACCAUGAUUAAAUUGUUGAAGUGGCUCUUAAAUGCAUGAUUGUUUAUUUAACUUAGAGCCCAUAUUACUUGUUUUCUCCUGUUUACUGAAUGCUUGCAGAUUCCAGCUUAGUCCAAUGCACGUGCACUCUUAUUAUUAUUCACAUCGUUCGGUUGUGCAAGUGAAGGCAAUAAUGAUGAUAUAUGAUGGACUUAUUGGGAUGAGAAAAGAUGGUAUGAACUCGACCUCUCUUGUUUUUGUAAAUAUGAUGAUUCGUCGUUCCUGAGUCAGCUAUUAUGAAGUAAGCAUAUUUGCAAUGACAUUUAGAGAUUAUAGUUGCUUGUGCCAUGCUUGAUUAGCUAUGAGUUAUAAUGGUUUACCUUGUGUGCCAACAUGCUAUUAGAAUGAUUAUGAUGUGGUAUGAUGGGAUGGUAUCCUCCUUUCAAUGAAUUGAGUGACUAGACUUGGCACAUGUCCACGCAUGUAGUUGAAUCCAAUCAACAUAGCCUUCAUGAUAUUUAUGUUCAUGGUAUAUUAUAUCCUACUCAUGCUUGUAUUCGGUGUAAAUUAAUUUUAAUGCAUGUUUACGACUGUUGUCGCUCUCCCAGUUGGUCGCUCCCCAGUCUUUUGCUAGCCUUCACCUGUACUAAGAGGGAAUACUGCUUGUGCAUCCAAACUCCUUAAACCUCAAAGUUGUUCCUUAUGAGUCCACUAUACCUACCUAUAUGCGGUAUUUACCUACCGUUCCAAGUAAAUUUGUAUGUGCCAAACUCCAAACCUUCAAAUGAAAUUCUGUUUUGUAUGCUCGAGCAGCUCAUGUUUCAACUAGGGCUGCCCUUAUCUUCCAUGUUAGGCGGUUAUUCUCAAGAGGAGUGGACUCCGCUCCUCAUUCACGAGAAAAUGGCUAGUCACCGAGAUGCCCAGUCCCAUGCUUUAUGCAAACUAAAUCAAAAUAAUUGCAAACAAAACUCCCCCUGGGACCCAUUGAAUGUUGGAGGCACUCGUUGUUUCGAGCAAGCCAUGGAUUGAUGCCUGUGGAGGAGGGGAGUAUAAACUUUACCAUUCUGUUUGGGAACCGCCUAUAAUUUGUUUAGCAUGGAAGAUAUCGUCAUCUCAUAGUUGUUGCGUUGGCAGCAAAAGUAUGCCGCUCAAAAUGUUAUUCAAUCUCUAUUUUAAAACCGAGCUCUGGCACCUCUACAAAUCCCUGCUUCUCUCUACGAAGGGCCUAUCUAUUUACUUUUAUGUUGAGUCAUCAUCCUUCUUAUUAAAAAGCACCCGCUGGAGAGCACACUGUCGUUUGCAUUCAUUAUAAUUGGUUUACAUUGGGUAUGACUUGACUGGAUCUCUUUUACCAUGAAUUACAAUGUUUAGUCAGUCCUUGAUCUGUAAAGGUUCUCUGCAUUUAUGUUUUGCGGUCUUAGAAAGGGCUAGCGAGAUACCAUUUUGUUAUAUCAUGUUAUGAUUAUUUUGAGAAAGUGUUGUCGUCCGAGUUUUGUUAUCAUAGCUCGCUAGCUGAUUAUGCUAUUGAUAUGAGUAAUUGUGAGACCUUUGUGUUAUUGUUAGUAUGGUUAGUUCAUAAUAUUUGCUGAAACUUGAAUGCUGGCUUUUCAUGUUACAACAACAAGAGCAAACAGAGUUUGUAAAAGUUUUUCUUUUUCUCUUUCAGUUUGUCAACUGAAUUGCUUGAGGACAAGCAAGGGUUUAAGCUUGGGGGAGUUGAUACGUCUCCGUCGUAUCUACUUUUCCAAACACGUUUGCCCUUGUUUUGGACUCUAACUUAUAUGAUUUGAAUGGAACUAACCCGGACUGACGCUGUUUUCAGCAGAAUUGACAUGGUGUUGUUUUUGUGCAGAAAAUAAAAGUUCUCGGAAUGACCUGAAACUCCACGGAAUAUCUUAGAAUAAAUAAUAAAAAAUCCUCGCCAAAGAUGAAGACCAGGGGGCCCACAGCCUGUCCACGAGGGUGGGGGGGGCGCCCCCCCUACCUCGUGGGCCCCCUCUGGCCCUUCGACGCCAACUCCAACUCCAUAUAUUGGCUUUCGGGGAGAAAAAAUCAGAGAGAAGAAAUCAUCGCGUUUUACGAUACGGAGCCACCGCCAAGCCCUAAUCUCUCUCGGGAGGGCUGAUCUGGAGUCCGUUCGGGGCUCCGGAGAGGGCGAUUCGUCGCCAUCGUCAUCAUCAACCAUCCUCCAUCACCAAUUUCAUGAUGCUCACUGCCGUGCGUGAGUAAUUUCAUCGUAGGCUUGCUAGACGGUGAUGGGUUGGAUGAGAUUUAUCAUGUAAUCGAUUUAGUUUUGUUAGGGUUUGAUCCCUAGUAUCCACUAUGUUCUAAGAUUGAUGUUGCUAUGACUUUGCUAUGCUUAAUGCUUGUCACUAGGACCCGAGUGCCAUGAUUUCAGAUAUGAACCUAUUAUGUUUUCAUGAAUAUAUGUGAGUCCUUGAUCCUAUCUUGCAAGUCUAUAGUAACCUACUAUGUGUUAUAAUCCGGCAACCCCGAAGUGACAAUAAUCGGAACCACUCCCGGUGAUGACCAUAGUUUGAGGAGUUCAUGUAUUCACUAUGUGCUAAUGCUUUGUUCCGGUUCCCUAUUAAAAGGAGGCCUUAAUAUCCCAUAGUUUCCAAUAGGACCCCUCUGCCACGGGAGGGUAGGACAAAAGAUGUCAUGCAAAACAAAAAAAACAACUUGUGCAUGGGUGAGGCACCUGAGAUGCCCCCCCUUUGGGUGUGUGUUACGCAAAAGGUAAAACGUGAUCCAGGGACAGGUGGGGGGCAACUUAUGUGUGGUGUGAGUAACAUGAGUUGCCUCACCCCCCUCCCUUUUUAGCCUAUUAAAAACACAAUUAUAAUCCAUUUUUUGUGGGUGGGCACAUAAGCAACCAUUAUAUGGCAAUAGAAAAAAACAUUGCAUCUGCUUUGGCACAUAAAAAGUUUGUGAUUAAGGGAUUUGAAGUGUAGUUUACAAGGAUUCUAUAACACCUCAGUGUCAGCAACUUUACAAUGCUUCUUCUUUGGUUGUUGCUCUUGAGAAACAUCCCCCUCAUUCACACCUUCGACUGGAUCAUCCUCAUUACUAUUGGUGCUAGCAGGCCGCUUCCCUCGGUUUACUACACGCUUUUGCCGCUUCCGCUCGUAAACAAUUGUUUUGUUAAUACCUUGCUCUUCUGAUACAGGUGUUUGCCAAAAAGCAAUAAAGAUAAAACCUAAGGUGCACUUAUGAGAAAAUAGGGGUAGAAAGAGGUAUUGGGGGCGGGGUGGGGGCCCGGUUAAACCUCCACUCGGACUUCAGAUGCAGGAGAUGGGACCCUGUCGUGCUGCGACGAUGUUGAAUCCAGUUCAUCACGCUUUUUGCUUGACAGACCAGACAUGUUUGCCUGAAAAAAAUAACAGAAAAUUAGCAAAGGAUUAAACUAUUCACAUGUUGCAGUGCUCAUGGAAGUAGCAACGAAAAACGACAUUCAUUUCAGCAUCGUAUUGUUGGCUGUAAAAACUACAUGAAAAUUAACUUGCCUAACACCAAAAACUUGCCUGAUUGGGCAUGAUGAACUUGUCUGCUACAAAAUGCCUCUGCCUGGCAACUACCAACCCCAACCCCCAAACCUGCCCAAGACUUGCCUACUACACAAAAGAACUAGUGCAUAACUAAAAAAACACCCAAAAUGAUGGCCAUAACUUGCCUGAUAGUGAACAUCAACUUGCGUGGUACCUAGAUAAAAUACGGGCUCCUACCCCCCGAACUAAAAAAACAGGGCCAAACUUGCCUGACGUUUGGCAUAAAGUUGCCUGGUGGAAAAAUAUGUCGAGCAAAAUUACUCCGCAAUCUGCAGCGGGGGCACGCACACCUCCAAAAACGUAUGUCGACCCCGAAAUCACACGAACCGGACGCGGGGGCGAACAUGCAUCAUGGAUAUCUAGAACAUACAUCCAUGAUGACCAUAACUUGCCUGAUNNNNNNNNNNNNNNNNNNNNNNNNNNNNNNNNNNNNNNNNNNNNNNNNNNNNNNNNNNNNNNNNNNNNNNNNNNNNNNNNNNNNNNNNNNNNNNNNNNNNNNNNNNNNNNNNNNNNNNNNNNNNNNNNNNNNNNNNNNNNNNNNNNNNNNNNNNNNNNNNNNNNNNNNNNNNNNNNNNNNNNNNNNNNNNNNNNNNNNNNNNNNNNNNNNNNNNNNNNNNNNNNNNNNNNNNNNNNNNNNNNNNNNNNNNNNNNNNNNNNNNNNNNNNNNNNNNNNNNNNNNNNNNNNNNNNNNNNNNNNNNNNNNNNNNNNNNNNNNNNNNNNNNNNNNNNNNNNNNNNNNNNNNNNNNNNNACGAAAUCACACGAACCGGACCUGGGGGAGAACAUGCAUCCAUGGAUAUCUAGAACAUACAUCCAUGAUGACCAUAACUUGCAUGAUAGCAAACAUGAACUUGCGUGGUGCCUAGAUAAAACACGGGCUCCUACCCCCCGAACUAAAAAAACAAGGCCAAACUUGCCUGACGUUUGGCGUAGACUUGCCUAGCGUUUGGCAUAAACUUGCCUGGUGGACAAAAUAUGUCGAACAAAAUUACUCUGCAAUCUGCAGCGGGGGCGCACACACCUCCGAGCCUAUUUCGACCACGAAAUCACACGAACCGGACGCGGGGGAGAACAUACAUCCAAGUACCUACCUAACCACCCCCGAGGCUACCCCCAAAAAGUAGCAAGGACUAGUGGCAGGGACUAGCGCAAGUGAAAACGCUGACCAGGUCGACAAACAAGCACCGCUGCGAGCACUAACCAGCGGGUGACGAACCUACUAAAAACUCCACGCCACCAGCAAGGACAGCAAUGGGGAGAUCCGCACGAGGUUUACCUUGACGCCGAUGAACCACCUCUUUCCUUCGCUGCCGCCCGCACAGAACGACUCCCCGUCUCACUUUGCCUCCUUCGCCGUAACUGCCGCUCUGCACGUCCGCCGAUCUCGCUUGCGAAAGUAGCUCCCCCACGGCUGACGAGCCGUACGGGAGAGCAACUCGAAGCGCCGACCACCCCGCGCCGCCGAACCACCCCCGAGAGCACCGAUUUGGACUGCGGCGAGGCGGAUUUGGGCAGGCGCGUUGUCGAUUUGCGUCGAUUUGGGCGAGGAGGAAGGAGAAACCGCCCACACUGCCGAAUGGGGGAGAGUGACGUUGCGGAGAGGUGGAGAAGACACAGAUAAUGGGGGCCCCACCACGCGCUAGACGUUUCCCCCCGACCAGAUAUACGCGCGAUGUUUCGUACCGACCAGGUUCCACCUGGUCGAGAUCGCGUCCGAUCGCGAUGCAUCCGGCGGCUGUCGCAGGGUGUGCUCGGGAAUGUUAAAAAGUGCAGCUGCACUUAUUAGAAUUUGGGAUAAUUAAAAUAAAGUUUCGAGACUAUUAGAGCAUUGUCCCAAGUGAGGAAAGGAUGAUGGAGACUAUGAUUCCCCCACAAGUCGGGAUGAGACUUCGGACUUUAUAACAAAAAGAGAAAGGCCAAAUAAAAAAAAGAGAAGGCCAAAUAAAAAAGGGAAAAAAUAAAAAAAGAAAAAAAGAACAGAAAAGAAAGAGAAAAAAUGAAUGAGAGAAAAAGAGAGAAGGGACAAUGCUACUAUCCUUUUACCACACUUGUGCUUCAAAGUAGCACCAUGAUCUUCAUGAUAGAGAGUCUCCUAUGUUGUCACUUUCAUAUACUAGUGGGAAUUUUACAUUAUAGAACUUGGCUUGUAUAUUCCGAUGAUGGGCUUCCUCAAAAUGCCCUAGGUCUUCGUGAGUAAGCAAGUUGGAUGCACACCCACUUAGUUUCUUUUGUUGAGCUUUCAUACACUUAUAGCUCUAGUGCAUCCGUUGCAUGACAAUCCCUACUCACUCACAUUGAUAUCUAUUAAUGGGCAUCUCCAUAGCCCGUUGAUACGCCUAGUUGAUGUGAGACUAUCUUCUCCUUUUUUGUUUUCUCCACAACCACCAUUCUAUUCCACAUAUAGUGCUAUGUCCAUGGCUCAUGCUCAUGUAUUGCGUGAAAGUUGAAAAAGUUUGAGAAUACUAAAGUAUGAAACAAUUGCUUGGCUUGUUAUCGGGGUUGUGCAUGAUUAAAUACUUUGUGUGAUGAAGAUAGAGCAUAGCCAGACUAUAUGAUUUUGUAGGGAUAGCUUUCUUUAGCCAUGUUAUUUUGAGAAGACAUGAUUGCUUUGUUAGUAUGCUUGAAGUAUUAUUGUUUUCAUGUCAAUAUGAACUUUUAUCUUGAAUCAUUUGGAUCUGAACAUUCAUGCCACAAUAAAGAAAAUUACAUAGAGUAAUAUGCUAGGUAGCAUUCCACAUUAAAAAUUCUGUUUUUAUCAUUUACCUACUCGAGGACGAGCAGGAAUUAAGCUUGGGGAUGCUUGAUACGUCUCCAACGUAUCUAUAAUUUUUGAUUGUUUCAUGCUAUUAUAUUACCUGUUUUGGAUGUUUAUGGGCUUUACUUUACACUUUUAUAUCAUUUUUGGGACUAACCUAUUAACCGGAGGCCCAGCCCAAAUUGUUGUUUUCUUGCCUAUUUCAGUGUUUCGAAGAAAAAGAAUAUCAUACGGAGUCCAAACGGAAUGAAACCUUCGGGAGAGUUAUUUUUUGGAACGGAAGCAAUCCAGGAGACUUGGAGUAGACGUUAGGGAAGCUUCGAGGUGGCCACGAGGCAGGGAGGCACGCCCUACCCCCCUGGGCGUGCCCCCACCCUCGUGGGCCCCUCGUGGCUCCCCUGACCGACUUCUUUCGCCUAUAUAUCCAUAUACCCUAAAAACAUCGAGGAGCACAAUAGAUCGGGAGUUCCGCAGCCGCAAGCCUCUGUAGCCACCAAAAACCAAUCGGGACCCUGUUCCGGCACCCUGCCGGAGGGGGGAUCCAUCACCAGUGACCAUCUUCAUCAUCCCGGCACUCUCCAUGACGAGGAGGGAGUAGUUCACCCUCGGGGUUGAGGGUAUGUACCAGUAGCUAUGUGUUUGAUCUCUCUCUCUCUCUCUCUCGUGUUCUUGAGGUGAUACGAUCUUGAUGUAUCGCGAGCUUUGCUAUUAUAGUUGGAUCUUAUGAUGUUUUCCCCCUCUACUCUCUUGUAAUGGAUUGAUUUUUCCCUUCGAAGUUAUCUUAUCAGACUGAGUCUUUAAGGAUUUGAGAACAAUUGAUGUAUGUCUUGUCGUGCUUAUCUUUGGUGACAAUGGGAUAUUCACGUGAUCUACUUGAUGUAUGUUUUGGUGAUCAACUUGCGGGUUCAGUGAACUUAUGCAUAGGGGUUGGCACACGAUUUUCAUCUUGACUCUCUGGUAGAAACUUUGGGGCACUCUUUGAAGUACUUUAUGUUGGUUUGAAUAGCUGAAUCUGAGAUUGUGUGAUGCAUAUGUAUAAUCAUAUACCCACAGAUACUUGAGGUGACAUUGGAGUAUCUAGGUGACAUUAUGGUUUUGGUUGAUUUGUGUCUUAAGGUGUUAUUCUAGUACGAACUCUAUGAUAGAUCGAACGGAAAGAAUAGCUUCAUGUUAUUUUACUAUGGACUCUUGAAUAGAUCGAUCAGAAAGGAUAACUUUGAGGUGGUUUCGUACCCUACAAUAAUCUCUUCGUUUGUUCUCCGCUAUUACUCUUUGUUGCAUGUUGAGGGAUAGUUAUAUGAACCAGUUAUGUUAUUAUUGUUGAGAGAACUUGCACUAGUAAAAAUAUGAACCCUAGGCCUUGUUUCCUAGCAUUGCAAUAUCGUUUGUGCUCACUUUUAUCAUUAGUUAUUAUUGUUGAGAGAACUUACACUAGUAAAAAUAUGAACCCUAGGCCUUGUUUCCUAGCAUUGCAAUACCGUUUUUGCUCACUUUUAUCAUUAUUUACCUUGCUGUUUUUAUAUUUUCAGAUUAAAAAAACUAUAUCUACCAUCCAUAUUGCACUUGUAUCACUAUCCCUUCGCCGAACUAGUACACCUAUACAAUUUACCAUUGUAUUGAGUGUGUUGGGGACACAAGAGACUCUUUGUUAUUUGGUUGCAGGGUUGUUUGAGAGAGACCAUCUUCAUCCUACGCCUCCCACGGAUUGAUAAACCUUAGGUCAUCCACUUGAGGGAAAUUUGAUACUGUCCUACAAAGCUCUGCACUUGGAGGCCCAACAACGUCUACAAGGAGAAGGUUGCGUAUUAGACAUCAUCCUGCAAUAGUGAUUUAUUCAAUCUUACUGGUACUGAAAUUGUAUUUACAUGCGUGUCUGCGCAAAUGGAGAAUAGUGAUGAACCCUUUAAAUAUUCAUUGUCCAACAAGAGGAUUCGAGCUUCUAUUGGAUAAUAUUGUAAUAAUAUGACUUGCAAAGUUUGAACUAUUAUAUAUAUGAUGAAAAUUACGAUGGCCGGAACCAACCUGUGGUUGGAUGGUUAGAGGGACUGUGGUAUCCCCAGCCCACCAGGGUUCAAAUCCUCGUGCUCGCAUUUAUUCCUGGAUUUAUUUCAGGAUUUCCGGCGAUGUGCAUUCAGUGGGAGGAGACGUUCCCGUCGACGACGAGGUGCCUACGGUGACUUCGUAAAUUUCAAGAUGAUAUGUCGGCUCAGUCUUUCGGAGAUGCUCAUAGGGGUAGGGUGUGCGUGUGUGCGUUCAUAGGGGUGAGUGUAUGCGCGUGUAUAUGAGCGCUUGUGUCUGUACUGAUGUUCAAAAAAAAUUACGAUGGCCUGAAAUCAACCUCGAUAUAUGUAUAUGUGUCUAGACGUGCGUUGCACGUGCACGUUUACUAGUUGUAUGAAAAUGAGUCUAGAACUUGAGUAGUUUCAUUAAUGGAUGAGCUGUGAUUGCGUGUAACAUAUUUCUGGUAUGUUAUCCUUUCUGUUUGAGUAAAUUGUACUCCCUCCGUCCCAAAAAGCCUAUGCAUAGUUAUUACGCAUACAUCCAAGUCGAACACAUACAUCCAAAAAGAACAUGCCGGCAACGGCAAAUGCGCAAAGUCAUACAAGAGCAAAUUAUGCUAAGCUGACAAAAAGAACUCCAAUGCAAUCAAAACAAUGAUCGACAAAUUACAACAACGCUCAUAUAUGCACCAACCAUCUCUUGACACCAAAAGGACAACGAUAUUCUUCAACGUCAACGUCUUCAGGAAGGCAACAACGCUCAAGCACUGUCAUCACCAGGUCCAACCACCAUGGGCUAGAUUCUAGGUUUUCACCCUGAAGAACAAGCCCGAGCAUACCCAAGUAAUGCCUUCAAGAAGAUAACGAUGCAAAAACAUCGUCAUUGUCAAGUAUAACCCACUCGGGUCAGACCUAGGGUUUUACCCCGAAGCUCGAGACCGGGUAUUCAAGAAGCACCACCAAAUCGGAGUCAAUCAUGUGUUGUUGCCACAACUUACUCGCGAUCACAAUAACUACAUGCGGCGGGCUAGAAAUCCUACCACCGCCAAUUAGGGUGGACUAUCAUCGUCACACAUAAUUCUUAAAACCUUUGGGAGGAAUCCUGGUCUUGUACUUGCACCACGGUCCCUUCACAACUGAACGAUGGUCGAAGAGCUCGCCAAGAUGUAGGACAACUACUUGCAUCGUACCCUAGUGCUAGGCCUCAUAGGAGCGCACCACAUGGCGCCUCUAGUGAUGGUACACAACCUCGACUUUAUGGAGCCAGUGUUCCCCAUGACGCUUGAUCGAUGGUCAAUGUGUGGCAGAACUCACUGAGGUGGUAGACAGAGUACCCAACUCUUCUUGGAAGAAUUUGCAAGAGUUGAGUUUGAUGGAUACCAAUAUCACUGUCAUGGCAUUACACUUCUUGUAAAACCUAACUAUCUUAAACGAACUUUACAUGUAUGGCAACUAAUUGAGUGAUUUUGAUAAUAUUGGCAUGCUUACAAUUUGACUUACGUAAGCCUCAAAAGGAACAACUUUAGCGAUGUGACAUCAAAAUAUCAUUUUUUUUGGUUUUAUGAAUAUGAAAUUAAAUGAAUUAUCUCUUAAUACUUUGAACAUCAUUACUGAUUCACAUUGGGUUCCUCCGCUCUACUUGUAUUAUACACCGUUCUCGUAUUGUAAUUUGGGUCCCCGGUUUCCUAAAUUGCUUGAGUGGUAGAAGGGGCAUCAUUGAGCUUGAUAAAUCAAACACAUGCCUCGUUGGUAGGAUUGUAGAUUGGUUUGGAUAAAAAAAUAUAUUUUGUAACAUUGUUGGGUAUUAGGGGAACACUUGUUGUCGAUCGACUAGAGUGUCUAUUUUCACUAACUGUUUAGUAGAAAUGGUCUCUUGCGUGCAAAUGUUCUUUGUUAGAUGAUAAAUUCAGAUGUAUGAGUACUUUAUUGGGGCCUACAUCGACGAGAAUUCUUGAUCUUGAACUAUAACUGGGUAGACGUGGAGCAAGGAGGACCUAGACAAUUACGAUCUUGAUUCCUGAGUGGCCACGCAUGCUUUUGAUUGUCCUUCAUUGCUUCAAAACAUAUAGUAUCUUCAUGAGAAGAAAAAAAUUGGUACGAGUUUUUCACCAAGUUUGUGAUAUUUGUAUAUUUAAUGGUCCCUCAACUUAUGUAAUGCUAAUGUUGAUAUAAACCGCAUGAAAAAAAACGGCUGUAGAUUUAUGCCAUAAUGUGUGUUGAUAUGCAAAUUACUUGAAAAAUUAACUUGGUUGUGUCGAGACUCCCAAUAUCUUGCCAAACUCCUUUUAGUUUGGUUGAAAUGGUUGGGCCUGCCCCUGCUCUUAAGAAAUUCAGAGAAACAUGACAAGAAUCAAUGUUGAGACUUAUUUGAAUGUAUUCUAUGCCGACUGUGUCCCUCGGUGCUUGGAUGGGGAAUAUAGCACAUUCAUGUUCAAAAUAUAGAGUAGGGAUCACCCCUUAGCCCUUACCCGUCAUGCCCUGGAUAACGCAUCCCUUCUUGUGUCAAUUACCUCUUUGUUUCCUAAAACCUUGUUAUUCUGCUACGAGAGGUUGUGGAGCAAGUACCCUAUUAGUUACGCGUGGAGAUUGAUUUCGCGCCACGAUCGACCCCAUUGAAAAGAGUGGUUGCUCGUCUCAGUCAAUGUCACAGUAGCUAUAAGUGAUGGGAUCGACACCUGAAAGAUUAGGACGACACAUCCUUCUUUAGCUCAGUGCAUCUGAGAGCAAGUUGUGCUAACCGCUUGCUUGCACAUCAGGCCACUGUGUGGAUCGGGUGUUAUAUUAUAUAGUUCAAAUCAUCAGUUGGUGCGCAUCGGGUUAACGUCUUGUGAGAUAAGUCUUUUCGGGCAUCAGAAGUGGUGAACCCAUUCUUCCAUAUGUUGCUCACAAGAAGCGAUUCCCACGCUUGCUUUGCUUGGGAACAAGCAAGCGCUCGAGCGAUGGAAAGGGGGAGGUGUAACACGCGAAGAUGGUCACAUGGCAGAGACAUGGGACAAAUGUACGUGAGUAUAUGUAUGUAUUUGUGUUUUUUAGAGGGAGGAGGAAGUAUAUAUAUGUGUGCGUGAGGUCCUAGAAAAAACUCAUUGAAUCAAAGUAUAUACAUUAAUAAUAAUUAAAAUAAAGUUUCGACAGGAGCAAGAAAAGAAAAGAGAAAAAAGAAAGAGAAGGAAUUCAAACCUGCAAAAAAAAAAACAGAGAGAAGGAAUUGGACUAAGGGGUGGGUUUNNNNNNNNNNNNNNNNNNNNNNNNNNNNNNNNNNNNNNNNNNNNNNNNNNNNNNNNNNNNNNNNNNNNNNNNNNNNNNNNNNNNNNNNNNNNNNNNNNNNNNNNNNNNNNNNNNNNNNNNNNNNNNNNNNNNNNNNNNNNNNNNNNNNNNNNNNNNNNNNNNNNNNNNNNNNNNNNNNNNNNNNNNNNNNNNNNNNGGUGGGUUUUUUUUUUUUUGAGCAUCUGGACUAAGGGGUGGGUGGGUCUCAUUCUCACAGAUGGGCCGGGCCUGCUCGUGAGGCUACUCUCAGUGUACACUGACGCGGCCCUCUCCCCCUGGUAAAUACGGAGUAGGUAGCUUCACUCACAGAAAAGAAAAGAAAAAUCAUUUCUUUCAGUCCACCUCUUCUUCUUCUCGGCGACGGCGGCGGCAGGCGGGCGGGCGAGCGAGGAACCCUAACCCUAACCACUACUUCCGAUCCGCAAGGUAGGAUCCAACCCCUACCCCUAAUCAGUAGCUCCGACCCGCAAUGUAGGUUCCAACCCGGCCGGAUUUCUCGAUUCUUGGGGCGAUUGAUGCCUGCUUGUCUGCAGGGCUUCGACGAUGGCGGCGUCUCUCCGCGCGGCGGCGGCGGCGGCCACGAGGAUCCUGCGCCCGGCGGUGCUUCCAGGGGAGCGGCUUCGCCGGCUCGUCCACACCGAGCAGGUACCUUCUCCCUUCGCUCUCCGGCUUGCUGUGUUUCCAAGGUCUGUGGCCCGACGUUCUUGCUCCGAUUGGUGGAGGCCCUCCGUUAGUCUGUAUCAAUUGUUCUGUCAUAGGGAUGCACGCCUAUCCUUGAUACAAGCAUCUUUUUUUUAUUUCCAACUACGUAGUAGAUUGUUGCUCUGAUUGGUGGGGGUCCUCCGUUCUUCUCUCCAUGCUAUUAUCUACUCCCUCGGUUCCAAAAUAGAUGACCCUAUUUUGGAACGGAGGUAGUAGUAUUAGUAGUAUAUCACAGGGAUGCACAUUUUUCAUUGAUUUCCAUUGAUAGAUGAUCAACUGCCUAGUAUGAAUGUGUUGAUAUUUUGGUAAAACUGACAUCUAUUGGUUUCCAACUAGCUUUAUUAUUUUGCUGUACAAGUGGUACAUUAUCAACUGCCUAGCAUGAGUGUGUCGAUAUUCUGGUAAAAAUCAACAUCAUUUGCUCUCCAACUAGUUUUGUAUUUUCCUGUGACAUUGGUAGAUGAUCAGCUGCCUGGCAUGAUUGCCUUGAUAUUUUAGCAAAAUCAUCAUCUUUUGGUCUCAAAUUAGUUCUAUAUUUCGCUGUGCCAUUGGUAGAUGACCAGUUGCCUAGCAUGAAAUGAAUUCCUUGUUAUUUUGGUAGAAAUCGACGCAUUUUGGUCUCCAGCUAGUUUUAUAUUUUGCCGUGCAAGAUAUAAGGUGUGUUUCGCUGUAUGUAGAUCGCAUCUCUGGUCAAGAUUGUUGUUUAGUCAUCAAUUCUCAAUGCCGCCUCUGCCUGGCAACUGAUCAUCUUCCAUCUAGAUUCUUUAUCGCAUCUCCGGUAAAAUCAGCAUCUUUUUUUUUUUCAUUUCCAACUAGAUUCUUGCUCUGAUUGGUGGAGGCCCUCCAUGGUUCUCCAUACUAUCAUCUUCUCCCUCCAUCCCAAAGCAAGUUGUAUCAAGUUGAGACACUUAUUUUGGGACGGAGGGAGUAUUAUAUGCAGGAAUGCACCGGCAUCCUUAAAACAGGCAUCUUUUUUAUUGCCUAGCAUGAGUGCCUUGAUAUUUUGGUAAAACAUUGGCAUCGUUUGGUUUCCACCUAGUUUUGCACGUAUUUUGUUGUGCCAUUGGUAGAUGAUCAACUGCCUAAGCAUGAAUCUGGUGAUAUCUUGGUAAAAAUCUACAUCUUUUGGUCUCCAAAUAGUUUUGUACAUCUUUUGAUCAACUGACUAGCAUGAAUGCCUUGGUAUUUUGGCAAAAUCGCCAUCCUUUUGGUCUCCAUCUAGUUUUAUAAUUUUCUGUGCCAUCGGCAGAUGAUCAAAUGCGUAGCAUGAGUGCCAUGAUGCUUUUGUAGAAAGCAACAUCUUUUGGUCUCCAACUAGUUUUAUAUUGCCUCCGUCCCAAAAUUCUCGUCUUAGAUUUGUCUAGAUACGGAUGUUUCUAGUUUUAUCUAACACUAAAACGUGACUAGGCAAAUCUAAGAUACAUCCAUAUCUAGAUAAAUCUAAGACGGGAAUUUUGGGACGGAGGGAGUAUUUUCUUGUACCAUUGGGGCAGAUGAUCAACUGCCUAGCAUGAAUGCCUCGAUAUUUUGGCAGAAAUAGACAACUUUUGGUCUCCAACUGGUUUUAGAUAAGGUGUGUUUGCUGUAUGUAGAUCACAUAUCUUGUCAAGAUUGUUUGUUUAGUCAUCUGUUCUCAAUGCUGCUUCUGCCUAGCAACUUCUAUGUCGGUAAAGUCGGCAUCCUCCAUUAGCAGAUGAUGAACCGUCUAGCAACUAUGAAUGAUCAAUGGACAGUAAAACUGAAUUCCUUUUUUGCGUAGAAUUAGAUUGAUAUAUGCUGUACGGUAGACCAUGUCUCUUGUCAAGGCUGUUGUUUAGUCACCAAUUCUGAAUGCUGAUUCUGUGUUCCCAGCAUCCCGCACCCGCCUGUUCCUUGAAGGAAGGAUACCGUGGGUCGCAAAUCCAGCAGAAGAAAGAGGAGCUGUACGCGGCUUCCCAGCUAGACAGGUAUGUUCUCAAAGACUCUGUGCACACAAGUCAAGCCCAGGCCGCAUGACACUUGAUGAUGGUACAAUAUCAAUCAUACGUAGACAUAGAUAUUUGUUCUGUUUUUCCUCUGCUACAGGAGUUGCUAUAUAUGUUCCUUACCAUCUCAUCCCACCUAACCUGCAGGCGCCCAAUAACUACAGCCAAGAAGGUGACCGAGUGGACUGCGACAGCGUUUGUUCUUGUUGCUGGUGCGGUCACUCUGGGUGGCCUAGCUACUGCUGAGGGAGCGCACAAGCAAGAUGAAAGUGAUGAAAGGCGUUGCCAAUGUCGUCCGUGGCUAUGCGCCGAGUGCGAGCAGAGUCAGAGUCUUAGGCGUACAAAUGCCUGAGAGUGUGGCCAAGCAAGUGGAUCGGCGCCAAAUCAAAAGGAAACUGCAGAAGCGAGUGGAGUGAACGAAAUGCAUCUUGUUCUAUUCCAGCACUAUAUUAUGCGUGUCUCCUGAAAGUUAUGUCUAUGACUUGCAGUCUACUGUGGAACUUUAGCAUUAUAACUGGAUGAUCUGUGAUCGCAUUGUAAGAUAUUUGUCAUGUCGUUGACAUGGUAUGUUAUGUACUUCCCAUUUGAGCAAAUUCUAUGAAGAUGAGGCUGCGUUUUUAUAGGCGAGAACAGCGUCCAGACCUGCUCGGGUUGGGCUGCUGCUGCAUCUGUUUUGAGUAAGUUGUAUGAAAAUGAGUCUUAUGCAUUGUUAUCGGGG
rnacentral:lncRNA from 1 species